AGCAAGUGUGGGAGCAGUGGAGGCACUCAAGGAUCAGGGCUUUUGCAGAUGGAAUUACACCAUGAGGUCUAUUCACCAGCAUGCCAAGACCAACCUCAGGUCCUUUUCUCGGGCCAAGAAGCUCUCUUCUUCCUCUUCUGCCAUGGUUUCUAGCAGAGUGAGAGAUGAGAAGGCAAAGCAGUCAGAGGAGUCCUUGAGGACUGUCAUGUACCUGAGCUGCUGGGGGCCCAACUGAGGAAUAAGAUCUGGCCGGGUAUGAAGAUGAUGAUCAUCCUACCACUGAAUCAUCCAUGGAGGGCAUAUCCCAAGAAAGUGAUGAGAACAAUCUUAGUUCCCUACUUCGCUCUCUCAAGCUAAGAGCCUCUCUUCUUUUUCUUCUUCUUCUGAUAAGACGGGUGCAAACAAUGGCGGGGAAGAUGAGAAAAGGAAGAAGAAGACACAGAAAACAUUGGGAAAAGUCAUGUACUUGAGCUCCUGAGUCCCCCGUGAAGCAAUGGAUAGAGAUUUUGGGACGUGAUGCAAGAGUGAAAAAUUUGUAGAGAACCGCAGAUAGAUAUGAUGAUAUUGAUUUCAAUGUGUACUUCCAAAAAAAUGAUAUCAAAUUUCAGAUUUAUUAUCAUAAUAUUGUGUUGCCUUUCAUCAUUUUUGCCAUGGGAGUUGUUGGUUUUCGAGAGGGUUAGAAACUAAUUCUAUUUCGGAAAAAAGGAAUCACCAUCUUUGAGCAGUUCGAAAUUGCCCAGAUCUAAAAAAGACCUCGAUAAAAUAUAAAAAUGUUGCGCAGCUUGAGAUAUUUUUGUUCAUGAUUUGAUAGUCAUUUUUAAAAACGUUUUUAUUAUUUUUAAUAUUUAAAUGACAUAUAUUAAAAAAUUAAAAUUUUUUUUUCAAUUACUAAACAUUUCCUAAAAUUAUUACCUUUUAAUACUUCUUGAGCCCUCUCCUAUACUUCUUUUUCUCAAACAGUCUUUCUCAAUUCCGUCCUCGAUCUGAAAGAAUUUUAGCUUCUUUGAGUCUUACAAAAUAGAACAAUCAAAGCAAGAUCCGUCAUUUAGACACUAGGCUCAAAGGUUUCAUUAACAAACGAUACACCCCGACAAUCAUUUCUCCUCUUAUGAGUCAAAUUCAUAAUUUUACCUAUUAUUAGACAUUUCAAUUAAAAAUGAUGAAUAAGUGAUAUAAGUGAUAUAGUUAAAUUAAAUCUUUUAUGAUAUUUGAUAUCUUAUAUUAAAAAUUAGUUGACUUAUUACACUUUUAUUUGGGUUUUAAAAAGGGAAAAUUGUUUUGGACCCAACUGGUCCAAAAAUUAACAUUUGGUCCAUGUAACUUCCAUAAUUGAUAGAAAUGUUAUAAAAGGUUAAAAGACCAAUAUAUCUUUCAAAUUUCUAUAUAUAUUACUUUUUAAGGGUAUAAAAUAGUGAUGGACUAAAAUACCCUAUGACCUUUGACAUAAGUUUUUUUUUUCUUUAUUGCACCACUAUUCAUGCAACCAUAAUAAUUAUAUUUUAACAAUUUAGAUUUUUCAUUGUUUUUAAUUUUUUUUAUAAAUAAUUGAAAAUCAGCAUUAUUUUCUAUUUUAAAUUAUAAAUAAAGAAAAAUUAUGUUCAAAAACUAUUUUAAAAAACACUUUCUAAAAAAAUGGUAAUAUGAUUUAUAUUUUCUAUAUUUUCUUUUUGAAAAAACAUUUAAUUAAAAAAUGAAAAUUAUUUUUAAAAAUAAAAAUUGAAAACCUUGUUUAGUACUAUUUUUUUAUAUGAAAAUAAUAAAAAGAAUUAAAUUUCAUUCCUUGAUUAUCUAUUUUUAUUUUUUUUCCAUUAGUUAUUUUAAUAAUAAAAUAUAAAAAAUAUAAUAUGUUUACAAUUAAACAAAGAAAUUGAUCAAUUAUGUGUUUUUUGUGGGAAUAUCUUUUACAUGAAAAAUAAUUAAAUAACUAAAUUAUAUAUAUAUAUAUAUAUAUUACUCUUUUUAAUUUUAUUUUCUUUAUUUAUUUUUUGUCUAUUAGAAAAUUUUAAUAUAUCCAUAAUUAACAAAGUAAUAAAUCAAUUGUGCAUAUUUUAAUCUAUUAAAAUAAAUUAAUUUCUAAUUUAAAUAAAUAAAAUGAAAUAAGUAAAUAAAUUUAGGGUUAUUUCUAUUUUUUAACAUAUCUUAAAUUAAUAUUUUUUAUGGUUAAAUAAUUUUUUUUAAUUCCAAAAAUAAAAUUAAAUAAAUAAAUAAAUUUUAUAUUUUCUAACUGAUCUUAUAUUCAUAUUUCUUAUGGUUAAAUAUAUUUUUUAUUUUUUUCUUUAUUUUAAAAAAUAAAAGGAAAUAAAAAAAUAAACUUGGCUUAAAUAAUAGUUUUUAAUUAAUUUCUUUGUCUUAUUUUUAAUUACAUUUUGCAUUGAAAAUAAAAUAAAAUAACGUUUUAUUUGUUUUAAUUAUUUUAAAUGUCAAACUAUUAGGAACAUAGUUUACACACUCAUGUGGAUAUAAUUUAUACAUAUAUAUAUGAAGUUUAUACCAUUAUACAAAGUUAUUACACUAAUUAUAUAAGGGGUGUACAAAAUUGUACAUUUUGAACAACUUUCUUUUUUUUUUCUUGUCAUCUGAGAAUUAUACGUUCUCCUACCACAAAUUCAUAUAACAAUUCAAAUACUUACCUUAAUAAUGAUGUUUAGAGAAAUUUUUUUUUUUUUACGUUUUAUAUCAUUUUUUAAAUCAAACCAUUGGAAACAUGGUUCACACAUCAUAUGUGACAUAUAAUAUAUGCAUAUGGAUGAAAUUUGCAUCAUUGUACAAGGGUGUUAUACUAACUAUACAAGGUAAAUGUUCAAUUGGACAAGACAAAUAUUCUAACUAUAUAAAACAAAUGUUCUAACUCUACAAGGGGUAUACAAGGCUAUCAUUUGUGAAAGAUUUUAAUUAAUUUUGGACAAUUUUUUUUUUUUUUUUUGUCUUGUCAUCUAAGGAUUGCACACUUUUAAGGUACACAUUCCUCUAUUACACAUUCAUCUUAUACACUUUAUUUAACUCGCACAUGAUAAUUCGAAUACUUAUCCUAUUAAUGAUGUUUGAGAGAAAAUUUUGUUUUUCCAUCUUCCACUAUUUUUUGAAACAAACCAAUGAAAACAUGGUUAAACUACCUAUGAUUACACGUUAAGUAGAGGGUAUAAUGAAUUUGAGUCACUGUACAAAAUAUUUACACUAAGUGUACAUGACAAAUAUACUAAUUGUACAAGGGUGUACAAGACUAUUAUUUGUGAAGGAAUUUGAGUGAUUAUGAAAAACUUGUUUGUUUAUUUCCUCUAACCGAGGAUAAAUGACAUUCCUUACACACAUUGGUUAAACAUACAUUCAUUUCAUGCACUUUAUUUAACUUGUAUAUGGUCAUUUGAAUAGGUACCUCACUUAUGAUGAUUGUAAAACAAAAUUAUACAAUAAUUUUUAUUCUUUUUUAAAACCAAACCAAUGCAAACAUGGUUAACCGACCUAUUGUCAUAUAUUCAUGAGAUAAUGUAUAAAAUUUGAGUUAUUGUAUAAGGGUAUUACACUAACUGUACAAGACAAAUUUACUAAUCGUACAAGGGUAUACAAGACGCUUUUUGUUAAGAAUUUUAAGUGAUUUUGAAAAACUUUCUCAUUUGUUUCCACUCAAAGAUUUUUUUCCCCACUCAAAUUCUCUCACUCAAGAAUUGUUUCGAAUUUUAUUUUUAAAUUUUAUCAACAAAAUUUUGUAAUUGCAUAUUUUGUUUUUAUAGUUUUAGCAAUGUUCUUUCUUUCCACUUUUUUUUUUUGUGAAAUUUUAUCCAAAUGAAUCUAUAUUUAAAAUUAUAAUCAUAUUUAUCAAAUUUUUUACUAAGAUUAUCUUUAAUUCUUUUAAUAUAUUUAUAUUCAUUUAUUUAAAAAAUAAAAAACUAAUUUUUUUUUUGUAAACAUGUUCUAUUACCUUUCAAGAAUUAGAUAAGUUUGAAAGUCAAUAAAAAUAAUUAAAUACCACUUUCAAUAAUUUUUAGAUAAAAUUUUAUAUAAUAUAUUUUAUUUGAAAUUUAAUUUCUAAAGUUUAACUAAAAAAUUAUAUUUACAAUUUUUUUGUUGUGAGUCAAAAUACUUUACAUUAGUCUAUUUAGAUAAGAAAAAUUAUUAAUAUAAUAUUAGAAUUUUGUAUCUUAGUUAUUUUUUUCAAUAAAUUUAUCUUUUUAAAAAUUUUAAAAUAAAAACAUUAAAAAUUAAAAGCUAAAAGGAGAUAUAUAUAUAUAUAUAUAUAUAAUAAAGUGAAGUGAUAGUCAAUUUUUAAAUUUUUUAAAAUAUGGUUAAUAUAGAAAAUAUAAAAAAUAAUUAAAAAUAAGAAAAAAAUAUAAAUGAAAGGGUAAUAUAAAUUUAAAAUAAAAAUUAAAAAUUAAACUAAAAGAUAAAAAAAAUAUUUGGAUGAAAAAUCCCAAAAUUUUUAUCAUUGCUUAUAAUAAAAGCAAAAAGAUUCAAUAUCUUUAAAAAUGAAAAACAAACUUUUUAUUUGACAUAAAAUAGAAAUAUAGAUCGGAAGAAAAAGAAAAAAAAUUAGAAAUGAGUAAUACUUUAUAGGGAAUAGAAAAGGGAAAAAAAACACAAAAAAAAAUUAAAAUUCAUAUUUACUUGUGCCUAUGUAAGAGUUAAAGGUAUUUUAGGGAUUAAUAAAAAAUAAUAUCCUUCAUCUUAAUUUUCAUACUUUGUUUGGGUCUUGGAUUUAAAUAUGUAUGAUAUAUGAACUAAAUGUUAAUUUUUGGAUUCGGCUGAACCCAAAACACGAUUCUCCUUUUUAAUAAAAUCCUAUUAUGUAUUAUUCAUUCAUUGAAUAUGGUAGCUUAACAAUUAUUAGAGGUUUAAUAUAAUAUUGAAAUUUGUUCACGUUUUUUGUUAGGCGAGCUCACAGAAUUUAAGUCGAAUUGGCUUUUAGAUUGCCGCUUUGGAAACCAGCGGUUUCACUCCUUUUUUGGCGACUGCCACCAUGAUAAUACUUGGUUGACCAUGCAUGUGGGUGAAAACCCAAUCAUGCCCACAUCUAACUCCCUUUAGCAUUACAAAUCCAAGAACAAAGUAGUCAUUCCAAUUCAAAAGCAAACAAAGCCAUGAAUACUGCUGGCCACAGCCUCUGGUUUUUCGUAAACUUAGGGCACCAAAUCCAAACCCAUCUCUUUCCUAUAAAACCAACCCACCUUCACUUCAUCUUCUUCAUCACAACCCAAAACACUUUGAUUUACAGAGAGAUAUUCAAUAUCCCAUUCACUACUCAGUAUCAGUUCUUUUACUGUUGAUUGUUGUUUGAGUUUUGGAGGAAGAAAAUUAAGAAGAUGAGUCAUAUGGGGAAAGCUUGGAUAGUGGCAGCAAGCGUGGGAGCAGUGGAGGCACUCAAGGAUCAGGGCUUCUGCAGAUGGAAUUACACUAUGAGGUCUAUUCACCAGCAUGCCAGGAACAGCCUCAGGUCUUUUUCUCAGGUCAAGAAGCUCUCUUCCUCUUCCGCCAUGGUUUCUAGCAGAGUGAGAGACGAGAAAGCAAAGCAAUCAGAGGAGUCUCUGAGGACUGUCAUGUACCUGAGCUGCUGGGGACCCAACUGAGGAAGCAGAUCUGGAUAUGAAGAUGAUGAUCAUCCUACCACUGAAUCUUCCAUGGAGGGCAUAUCCCAAGAAAGUGAUAAGAACAAUCUUAGGCCCCUCUCUCAAGCUAGGAGCCUCUCUUCUUCUUCUUCCUAUAAGAUGGGUGUGAAGAGUAGUGGGGAAGAUGAGAAAAGGAAGAAGAAGACACAGAAAACAUUGGGGAAAGUCAUGCACUAGAGCUCCUGGGUCCCCAGUGGAGCAAUGGAUACAGAUUUUGCGGUGCAAUAUAAGAGUAAAAAUUUUGUAGACAACUGCAGAAAGAUGUGAUGAUCUUCAUGCGUACUUCAAAAAAAUGAAAUCAGAUAUCAGAUUUAUUAUCAUAAUAUUGUGUUGCCUUUUAUCAUUUUUUGCCAUGGGAUCACUAUCUUUGUUGGUUUUGAUUGAAUUUGAGCUUUAGCAGAUGGAGCAAUCAAGAGUUUGAAGCAAAAAGCACUUAAGAUCCACCUUCAGUGCAAUAUAUUUUGUUUUGAAUUGAUUGUGCAGGCAUUGUUCACCCCACAAUCCCUUCCUCCUCUCAGUCAAACUCAUAACUAUGGCUUGGCUCUAAUUUCAAUUCUCAAACAUCUUAACUGAAAAUCAUACUGAUGACUAAUAACAAUAAGUUCAACCUUUUAUGGCCUUUUUUUUUUUUCGGAGUGAUUGUUUGCGUGAUUCAUUUCAGACUUAAAAGAAUGAUGUUAUUGUGCCUAUACACAAAUUUUAUACUCAUGGUUUUAAUAGAAUCCCGUUCACUAUGUGAAAUUAAUAGUUUAAUAUAAUAUUAGAGUUUUAAUAUAUAGUAUUAUUUUAUAUUUUGAAAUUAGUAUUUUAAUAUAAUAUUAAAAUUUGUUCAGAUUUUCUGUUCGUUUUCUUGUUUAUUAAUCUUAUGGUUGGGUUUGAAAAAUGGAAAAUUUGAGAAAAAAAAAUGUGAGAAAAAAUUGAAAAAUAUACUUAAAAUUAAUAAAUUAUUUUUAGAUGCUUCAUUAAAUUUAUUAUAUUUUUAUAAAUUAUAAUUACAUUGAAUAAUUUAAAAAUAUAAAUUUUUUAAAUUAAUUUUAAUGACUUUUUUUUCCUUCUUUAAAAUUUUCAUGAUAAACUAGAAAUUGUAAAAUCAUUUGUGUUUUUUUCACCCUAUGUUGGACUUUUCCGGCCAAAUAUAGCUUAACUUUAGGGUUGUAAUUUGGACAAGUUGAUCGGCCUGAUCAUUGAUGGUCAAUCCAGACUCAAUCCAACCUUAUUUUUAAAAAAUAAAGUUAGUUAGUGGAGUUAAACUCAAAUUGAUUAGAUUAAACUUUAUAUUAAAACUUGGAUUGAUUAGGUUAAAUUUUAUGUUAAAAUUUGGAUUGAUUGGUUUAAAUUUCACCUUAAAAUUUGGAUUGAUUGGGUUAAACUUGAGUUGAUCCAAUUGAUUGAUUGUGUUGUAUAAUUCAAAAUUCAUUAAUAAUAGUUUUUUUUUUAAUUUUAUACAUUUAUACCAAAAUUUAGUUAGUAAUAAGACAAAAUUUCAAACAAUAAUAAUAAUAAUAAUAAUAAUAAUAAUAAUAAUAAACUCAUUUUUUUUUUCAAAAAAUGAAAAAAAUAUACUAAAUGAUCACAAUUUAAUAUUUUUCUUUAAAAUUUUAAAAAUAAAUAAAUAUUAUUAUAUUAGAUAAUAAAUAUUAUAAAAACAUUAAAUUUGGUUUGACUCGGAUUAUAGCCUAAAUCUAAUUCAAAUUGAAUUUUGGUUGUGAAAAAACUUAACCCAACCAAAUAUUGGAUUAAGUUGGGUCAACCCGUCAAAGUUAUACCCGUGACUUGUUUGGGCAUCUCACAGAAUUUAGUCAAACAGCUGAAAAUUAAUGGACUCCAGUGGGCAGAGUAAGUAAAGCAAAUUGUUUUGGAUUGCCGCAUUGUCACUUCUGAAACCAGCGGUUUCAGUCCUUUCACCCUUUUAGCAGGAAAACAGGGGGCACACCUCCUGGCAACUGCGACCAUAAUAACACUUAGUCGGGAAUAAAAAUGUAGCUGAAAAACCAAUCAUGCCCAAAUGUAACCUACUUUAGCAUUACAAAUCUAAGGACAAAGUAGUCAUUCCAAUUCAAACCAAACAAACCCAUGAAUACUGCUGGCCACAGCCUCUGGUUUUUGCCAAACGUUGGGCACCAAAUCCAAACCCAUCUAUUGCUAUAUAACCAACCCAUCUUCACUUCAUCUUCUUCAUCACAACACAAACACUUUGAUUUACAGAGAGAUCUUCUAUAUCCUAUUCACUACUCAGAAUCAGUUCUUUUUAUUGUUGAUUGUUGUUUGAGUUUUGGAGAGAGAAUUAAGAUGAGUCAUAUGGGGAAAGCUUGGAUAGUGGCAGCAAGUGUGGGAGCAGUGGAGGCACUCAAGGACCAGGGCUUCUGCAGAUGGAAUUACACUCUGAGGUCUAUUCACCAGCAUGCCAAGAACAACCUCAGGUCCUUUUCUCAGGCCAAGAAGCUCUCUUCUUCCUCUUCCGCCAUGGUUUCUAGCAGAGUGAGAGACGAGAAGGCCAAGCAAUCAGAGGAGUCUCUGAGGACCGUCAUGUACUUGAGCUGCUGGGGACCCAACUGAGGAAGAAGAUAUGAAGAUGGAUGAUCACCAGCAUACUAGUGAAGCAUCGAUGGAGGGCAUAUUCCAAGAAAGUGAUACGAACAACUUAGUUCCCUCUUUCAAGCUAAGAGCCUCUCUUCUUCUUCUCCUCCUUAUUCUUAUAAGAUGGAGGUGAAUAGUGGCGGAGAAGGUGAGAAAAGGAAGAAGACACAGAAAGUAAUGGGGAAAGUCGUGGGCUUGAGCUCCUGCGGUCCCAGUGAAGCAAUGGAUAGAGAUUUUGAGGUGUAACAUAAGAGUAAACAUUUUGUAGAGAUCUGCAGAUAGAUAAGAUGAUUUUAAUGUGUACUUAAAAAAAUGAAAUAAGAUUUCAGAUUUAUCAUCAUAAUAUUUGUGCCAUGGGACUAUCUUGGUUAGUUUUUUAGAGGGUUAAAAACUAAUUCUACUUUGGAAGAAAGGAAUCACCUUCAAAUUAAGCCAUCUUUCGAGCAGUUUGGAAAAACCCUUAUCUAAUAAAGACCUCUAUAAAGUACAAAAAGGUUGUGCUUUUACCAUAAAAAAGGUUGUUUCAAGCCCGAGAACAUCAGAAAUCAUCAUGCCAAGGUUGAUAGAGUUGCUAACAUACAGAUAAGAAAUUUUACCCAAAAAAAUAAAAUAAAAAAAUUAAAGCUUUGUCUUGAAAAGUCUCUCAAAUUCAGAUUCAUUUUUGGAAGAAGAAUAAGAGAUAUCUAAGUGAAGUGAGGGGUUCGUGGACAGGAAAUUUAAGAUAUUUUAAUAAUCCAAUAGUUUUAUUUGAUUUUUAUCAUAGUAUAAUAAAAUAAUUCUCUUUUAUUUGUGGAUGUAAGUUAAUCAAAACAUGUUAAGAUCUCGUGUAUUUUUGUGUGAAUUAUUUUAUUUUUACAUUCUAAAAUUAAUAUUUUUGUAUUAAAGCUUACAUUGAUACCAAAGCUAUGUUGAAGAUUUGUAAAAGAACAAAAAAAAAAAAAAAAAUAGUACACAAAAAAAAUGAUAAAAUGAAUUUUAAUUGAAAGUGAAGUUGAUUGUUUCCAAAACAUGAUACAAAAAAUAUGUUAUGAAAAGAUGAAAAAUUAACUUAAUGGAAUUUGAUGUCGAGAUUGUUCAAGAGUGCCUUAAAUUCUUAUUAAUAUUGAUUGAUUUUUAUAAGGAAUAUUGUAUAUAAUAUAUUUUAAGUUAAUAUAUUAUUAUAAUAUUAGAUUUCUUUAUUCAGUAAAGAAAGUUAUUAAAAAUAUUUUUAUAAAUAUUUUAAAUCUUAUAAGAUGAAGAUUAACUUGUAAAAAUUAUAUGAGAUGGAUAAAGAUGUAUAAAAAAAAUGAAAGAUAUCUUGAAUGAUGUAGUGAAAUGAUUCUCUCAUUCGCAUAUAUAGGCAUGAUUCAUCGAAUCAUAUUAAAACCUCAUGUAUUUUCCGGUGGAUUGUUUUAUUUUUAUGUUUUUAAACCAAUAUGUUUGUGUUAAGAUUUUCCCUUACCCAACACCUUCAACCCUCUCUUUUAUUUAUUUUUUUCAUUAUAUUUAUAAAGAGGUUUAUCCAAAGAUCUCAAUCCCUUGUCCUCAUCUUACCGUCUUUGAUCUAUCCGAGGAAUUUUAGUUUCUUUGGUAAUGAUUAAUUUUGAAUCUUACAAAACAAAACAAUCAAAAGUUUGAAACAAAGCAAGAUGCAUCAUUUAGACAAUUGGUUCAAAGGCUUCAUGAUAGACGUUACAUCCCAACAGUCAUUUAUGCUCUUAUAAGUCAAAUUCAUAAUCCAAUGUAUUAUUAGUUCAUUAUGUGAAAUUAAUAACUCAGCUAACAUUAGAGGUUUCAUAAAACACUAGAAUUUGUUCACAUUUUUGUUAGGUGAGCUCACAGAAUUCAAGUCCAAUUGGCAACUACUCCAAAAGUGAAUGUUAUUGAACUCCAAUAAGCAACUUGUUUUAGACUGCCGCAUUGUGGCUUUGGAAACCAGCGGUUUCACUCCUUUCACUCCUUUAGCAGGAAAACAGGGGACACAUCUUUGGCAGCUGCCACCAUGAUAAUUCUUAGUAGGGACCACACAAGUGGGUGAAAACCCAAUCAUACCCACAUCUAACUCCCCUUAGCAUUACAAAUCCAAGGACAAAGUAGUCAUUCCAAUUCAAACCAAACAAACCCAUGAAUACUGCUGGCCACAGCCUCUGGUUUUUUCCUAAAGUUUGGGCACCAAAUCCAAACCCAUCUCUUUUCUAUAAAACCAACCCACCUUCACUUCUUCUUCUUCAUCACAACACAAACACUUUGAUCUACAGAGAGAUCUUCAAAAUCCCAUUCACUACUCAAAUCGGUUCUUUUUAUUGUUGAUUGUUGUUUGAGUUUGGAGAAAGAAAAUUAAGAAGAUGAGUCAUAUGAGGAAAGCUUGGAUAGUGGCAGCAAGUGUGGGAGCAGUGGAGGCACUCAAGGACCAGGGCUUCUGCAGAUGGAAUUACACUAUGAGGUCUAUUCACCAGCAUGCCAAGAACAACCUCAGGUCCUUUUCUCAGGCCAAGAAGCUCUCUUCUUCCUCUUCUGCCAUGGUUUCUAGCAGAGUGAGAGAUGAGAAGGCAAAGCAGUCAGAGGAGUCUCUGAGGACUGUCAUGUACUUGAGCUGCUGGGGACCCAACUGAGGAAGAAGAUAUGAAGAUGGAUGAUCACCAGCCUACAGCGAAGCAUCCAUGGAGGGCAUAUUCCAAGAAAGUGAUAACUCAUAAGUGGAGUGGAGAUCAGUUUCAUGGAAUUUUUCCUAGAAGACAAACAAGGUGGAAAUCCAGAAAUUAAUUAGAACCAACUGCUAAUAGUUGGCGUCUCUGAGUUAGGAAUUUGUUAGCAAAAGGCAGCUUUGGUAUAUAUACUAAUAUACGAGAUGAUUUCAAUGUAUAUUUGAAAUAGAAAUUAGAUUUAUUAUCAAAACGAUUGCGUUGUCUCGUCUUUUAUAUUUUCCAGAUCCAAACAGAUCCUAAAGGCCCUAAAAUUUUUGUUGUAUCAUUUUUAUGCUAAAAAAUUACACAUAGAAAAAUUAACUAAAUCAUAAGUAGCUUCUAACCAUGAAUUGUUUUUUUUUUUUUAAGCCUAUAAAUUUUAUGCUUUAGAUACAUGCAUUAAAAAUCUAUCUAAACCAUAUAUAAUUAUUUUAAUGCAGUUAUAUAACUGAUAAAAAUAGAAAUAAAUUUAAUAAAUAUAAAAUAAUAAAAUAUUAGGAUAAGUAUUGAAGAUCAAUUUUCAGUCUUCAAACUUAAUCGAACUUGAAAGUGGAUGGCGAUGGAUACAAUGAUUUGAGCCAGGUCUUAAAUCUUUAACUUAAUGGAGCAAUUAUUGUAAUCUACUUAAUAAUUGGUCAGUAUAAAAUUAAAUAAUAAUAAAAGGAGAAAGAAAAGGACACGUGUUUGACGUGGACGUUGCCAAAACAGCGGUUUCAGACAGGCCUUUUACUGCCCGAGCGCCAGUGGAUUAACAAAGAAAACAAUGAGCACAUCAGUGGAAGCGGCACCAGCUACCAAGUAUGCAGCUGAAAUGCCCCUUGGAAUUACAAAUCGAAGGACAAAAGAGUCAUUCCAGACCAACCCAGAAAUACAGCUGACCCCUGCCUCUGGUUUUUCCCCAAACCUUGUGCCUUUCUCUAUCUAUAUAAUCCAGCCCACCUUCUCUCCAUCUUCUUCAUCGCAACACAAACGCUUUGAUUUACUGAGAGAUCUUCCAUAUCAAUUCACUACUGAGAUUGUUGUUUGGGCUUUGAGUUCUUGGGAAAGAAAGUUAAGAAGAUGAGUCAUAUGAGGAAAGCUUGGGUGGUGGCAGCAAGCGUGGGAGCAGUGGAGGCACUCAAGGAUCAGGGCUUCUGCAGAUGGAACUACACUCUGAGGUCUAUUCACCAGCAUGCCAAGAACAACCUCAGGUCCUUUUCUCAGGCCAGGAAGCUCUCUUCUUCCUCUUCUGCAAUGGUUUCUAGCAGAAUGAGAGACGAGAAGGCAAAGCAGUCAGAGGAGUCUCUGAGGACUGUCAUGUACCUGAGCUGCUGGGGACCCAACUGAGACGUUCCACAUUUCGAGUGAUCAAGAAGAAGAUGAUGAUGACGAAAGAUUCAUGGAGGGAGCAUGUGAAGGAAGUCAUGAGAAGGGGAGAUGAAAACCAUUAAUGGAGAAGAGAGAUCCAUCUGUGGAUGAAGGCAGUGGAAAUUUGGAGCCGAGUGAGUCAUGGGUAAUGGUUCUUAUGAGUUGGGAAAUUAUCAGCAAAGUGCUUUCUCAACCUCAGAUGCUUUGGGAGGAAUGGGAAUUUACCAGAAAAUUGCAAGUACAUAUGUAUGAUGCUUUUUAUGCAUAAUUUGUCCGAAAGCAAUAAUAAUCAGAUUAAUUUUCAGCUAUACUUCUUCUGAGAUAUGGAAUUUGUUGGUUCUGAUUUAAUUUCAAUGAAAUUGAUUAUUUUGUAAUUCUAAAGAAAAUUGGAUUAUUCUGUAAAUUCUAUUAUUUUAUUGUUGUAUAAAGGUAAAUUCUUCUAUCAUUUGUUUUGAUAUAUUCAAAAUUAGACACAGAAAUUAAAAAAAAAAAAAAAAAAUCCACUAUUCCAAGCCAACCCGCAGCCCAAGCUGACGGGUGCAUCCAACCAGGUAGCCAUGUUCAGGGAAAACAGCGGUUUCACCCACAUUUUUACUCCUUGCGCAAUGGAAAAAAAAAAAGAAAAGCGAUUAAAGCCCAAAAUGCCCAUGUAUCUCUUCAUUUGCCAUUAGAAGUAUAUGCACAAAACAGUCAUUCCAUCCACCCCUCACCAACCCAAAAAUCCUGGUAACCACAGCCUCUGGUUUUCCCCCACACCUAUGUCUUUUAAACAAUGGGCACACUACUGCCGACUGCCCCUACGCUUACUGCUUACAUUAGUUGAGGAUGAGUGAUGGGGCCAAGGCCAACUAUGUAGGUGAAUUCCCAAUUAUACCCACCUGAAUCCGCCCUCAAUCUGACCAAUCCGAGGACAAACGUAAUAAUCAUUCCAAUUCAGAUCAAGCAAACCCAUGAAAACUGCUGGCCACAGCCUCUGGUUUUUUCCCAAACUUUGGGCACCCGAUCCAAACCUAUCUCUUUCUAUAAAACCAACCCACCUUCACCUCAUCUUCUUCAUCACAACACAAAACACUGGAUUUACAGAGAGAUCUUCAAUAUCCAUUCACUACCCAGAAUCAGGUCUUUUUAUUGUUGAUUGUUGAUUGAGUUUUGGAGAAAGAAAAUUAAGGAGAUGAGUCAUAUGGGGAAAGCCUGGAUAGUGGCAACAAGCAUGGGAGCAGUUGAGGCAUUGAAGGAUCAGGGCUUCUGCAGAUGGAAUUACACUAUGAGGUCACUUCACCAGCAUGCCAAGAACAACCUCAGGUCCUUUUCUCAAGCCAAGAAGCUCUCUUCUUCCUCUUCUGCCAUGGCUUCUAGCAGAGUGAGAGAAGACAAGGCAAAGAAAUCAGAGGAGUCCUUGAGGGCUGUCAUGUACUUGAGCUGUUGGGGACCCAACUGAGACCCACCAAAAAUUAGUAGAGAGUUGUAAACAUGUAUGAUGAUUUUUUUAUGUAUUUUUUUGAAAAAAAAUCAGAUUAGGUAUCAGAAAUUCAGAAUGAUUGUUUUUUGCACUUUGUUUUUACAUGCCAUGGGAUUUGGAGUUGGUUAGUUUUGACUGAGCAUGAAAGGCAGGCCAGGGUUUUAAAGAAUUGAAUCAUUCACUGGAGAUGGAAUCUCUCUCAGAGAAAUCCUUAUUCUCUACAACCUUGGCAAAUGGCAAGCCACUAAGAGGGAAAACACAAAAAAUAAAAAUAAAAUAAAAUAAUAAUAAUUGUAGAGGAGAUAUUUGCCAAUAUAUAAAACUUAUAUUUUUGUAUUAUUAUUGAAUAAAUUAGAUUUUAUCAUACACUUAAAUAAUGGAGAUACAAAUUCAAUAUAAUACUUUUUUUUUGGUUAAUUUUAAAAGGUUUCUAAGGAAAUUAAGUCUUAAUCAAACAACUUUUAUUGAUCUUUUACAAUAUGAAUUUAUCUCUUUAAAAUAAUUUUAAUUUAGCAUUUAAAAUUUUCCGUUGAACUUUUUCACCAAAUGAGAAGUAAAAACGUAACAGAGGAAUGCAGGACUUUAAAGUGAAGUUGUCUUUUUUUGAACAAGCUAACUUUAAGUCUCGUUUUUUAAGAGAACUUUUCAUAGAAUUUGAAUUAUUUAUUUAACGAUAAAUUUUCAUGAUUUUUUUUUUAAAUUUACACCAUUUUGAAAGGGAAACUUGUAUUUUGAUGGAGCAAUUUGGAAAAUAUAUGAUUUUUGGAAUCCAACUUCACGAAAUCUGAAAACUAACUUUUAAUGUGAAAAAUUAUAUAUUUUUCAUGCACUCUAAGUCGGUUGCAUAUUUUUGUGCUAAGAUUAUUUUUAGGUUUAGUGAUUUUCCAAAAUUAUCCUUUUUGUUUUUUUUUUUUUUCUCUUGUACCCAUCAUCUGCCUCUCCCUCCCUCCCCAGUGAAAUUGGUUGGUAUUUUGCCGACGUCAUCACCAACCGCCACCCACACUUCUCUCCCGUUGGCAAUCUCCUCCUUUCUCCAUUUCCUUCCCUCUUUCUCUCUCUCUUUCAUUCCCUUUCGACAUCACCAAGAGAGAAGAAGGCGGUGGCAAUGGUGGAGAACCGGGGUUGGAGGGAAGAAGGUGCGACUGGUUGCCAUUGACGGUGGCAACCAGUAACUCUCGCAGUCAUUGACAACGGUGGUGGUGGAAGCACCUAAGUGGGGAGAGACGUCAAGGAGAGGUGGGAGGGAGGCGGACGAGGGGACCACGUCUUUCCCUACGCUGGUGCUUUCGCCGUCGCCACUGUCAAUAAUCGUGAGAGUUGUUGGUUGCUGUUUGUCGCGCCUUCUUCCCUCUAGCCCUGGUUCUCCACCAUUGCCACUGCCCUCUUCUCUCUUGAUGAUGUCGAAAGGAAAUGAAAGAGAUAAAGAAAGAGGGAAGGGAAUCGGAGAGGGGGAAAUUAAUGAUCGGAGAAAUGUGUGAGUGACGGCCGAUUUCACAAGGGAGGGAGGAAGAGGCGGAUGGUGGUGGGUAUAGGAGGAAAAUAAACAAAAAGGAUCACUUUGGAAAAUCACUAAAUCCAAAGGUAAUCUCGACACAAAAUAUGUAGCCGGUUCAGAGUGCAUGAAAAAUAUAUAAUUUUCCAUAUUGAAAAUUGAAUUUUAGAUUUCAUAAAGUUGGAUUCUAAAAACCAUAUAUUUCUUAAAUUUCCUCAUCAAAACAUAAGUCUGCAUUUUGAAAAGGAAAAACCCAAUGAAAUAUGUUCGUACUUCGUAUAGACCGUGGAGUGGGGUGUGAAAAAAACAAAGAAAUAGACACGUGCUUGAAAUCCGGCCGUGCACAUUACCCCAUUGGAAAACAGCGGUUUCAUCCUCCUUACUCUUUGAGCGUUGAGUGGAUUCACAAACAAAACAAUGGGCACGUACUGCGGACUGCCCCACACCAACACUGAGGGCCAACUAUGUAGGUGAAUACCCAAUUAUACCUACAUGAAUCAGCCGUCAAUCUUACAAAUCCAAGGGCAAAGUAGUCAUUCCAAUUCAAACCAAACCAAGCCAUGAUUCAUGAAAACUGCUGGCCACAGCUCCCGGUUUUUCCCUAACUUUGGGCACCAAAUCCAACCCAUCUCUUGCUAUAUAACCAACCCACCUUCACUUCAUCUUCUUCAUCACAACACAACUACCUUGAUUUACAGAGAGAUCUUCUAUAUCCAUUCACUACUCAGAAUCACCUCUUUCUAUUGUUGAUUGUUGUUUGGGUUUCGGAGAAAGAAAAUUAAGAUGAGUCAUAUGGGGAAAGCUUGGUUAGUGGCAGCAAGUGUGGGAGCAGUGGAGGCACUCAAGGAUCAGGGCUUCUGCAGAUGGAACUACACUCUGAGGUCUAUUCACCAGCAUGCCAAGACCAACCUCAGGUCCUUUGCUCAGGCCAAGAAGCUCUCUUCUUCCUCUUCUGCCAUGGUUUCCAGCAGAGUGAGGGAGGAGAAGGCCAAGCAGUCAGAGGAGUCUCUGAGGACUGUCAUGUACUUGAGCUGCUGGGGACCCAACUGAAGAAGAAGAUAUGAAGAUGGAUGAUCAUCAGCCUGCACUUGAAGCAUCCAGAGAGGGCAUAUUCCAAGAAAGUUAUGGAAAAUUAAGAUGAAGAAACUGCAGUGAAGCAAUUUCAUGGAAUUUUUGCUUGGAGACUCCCGAAUUACAACCAAUUGCUCAGGGUUGGGAAAAUUGGAAUUGCUGUAAAUUGUGACUGGUUCUUUGUAAAACCCAAAUCAUUUAGCUAGAAAUUGAAAAUACAUUUUAAUUUAAUUUAUAGUUUCUCUGUUAGAAUAUUAGACCCAAUUCCUAAAAAGCUUGUCAGUCUUGUAUUAGACCCAAGCUCAAGCGCAUUAAGAAAAAAUAUGGCAGAUUUGGUCACAUAGGGGAUGAAGAGGUGAUAAAGUAGAUACAACGCCCAAAAUUAAACUCUCAAUCAAUUUAAUUGAACAAAUAAUCAUAAAAGAGAUUUUUUAAAUUUAUGAUUUUUGAAAAAGAAAAUUCCAGUGAAAUAUGUUCAUGUAGACUGUGUGGUAGGAUGAAGACUAAACAAAGAAAUGGACACGUGGUUGAAGUCCGGCCCUACACAUUGCCCCAUUGGAAAACAGUGGUUUCAUCCUCCGUACUCUUUGGGCGUUAAGUGGGUUCACAAACCAAACAAUGGGCUGCCUUAACGUGGUGUUUAUUUUUUUACUUAAUUCUAAAUAGAAUCUUAAUAUUUAAUCGUAUUAAAUAUUAGAUUAUUUAUUUUUUAGUAUUUUAUUUUUAUUAAGUAUUAAAAAGUAAAAAAAAUCAUUGUGUUAUUUUUUCUAUUUAGAAAAAAUUAUAUAUUUUGAUUUUUUCUAUUUAGUAAAAAGUUUAUAAUAAGUCAUUAAAAAGUAAAAAAACAAACCAUCUAAAUUCUAAAACUAAAUGAUUUUUAGCAAAAAGCCAAAAAAACAAACACCACUUUAGACUGAGGACAAACUAUGUAGGUGAAUAUCCCAUUAUACCUACAUGAAUCAGUGGUCAAUCUUACAAAUCUAAGGACAGAGUAGUAAUUCCAAUUCAAACCAAACAAAGCUAUGAGAACUGCUGGCCACAGCCUCUGGUUUCCCCAAAACUUUGGGCAGUAUUCCUCAAAGAAUCAAGUGGGCUAGAUUUAACAACUUCGUCCACCAUGGUUAGAUUAUUGGGGGCUAGAGUAAAUAACUUCAUCCACCAUGGUUAGAUUAUUGGUAUCUCGAUGGGAGAAGUUGUUUUGAUGGAAAAACAUUGUAUUUUAUUAUUUUGUAAAUUUUAUCAUCACUCAUAUAUAUUAUUUUUUAUUUAAAAUUAAAUAAAAAAUUAAAAUUCUUAGAAAAUACGAAAAGAAAGUAUAUCACAAUCUUUAUUUUCUAUUCUAAAAUUAAAAAAUAAAAAUAAAAUUAUGAAGAAAAAAGUACAUUCCAACUUACAUUAAUUAAGGGAUGAUAUACUCUGCAAAUAAAAAAUAUAAAAAAUAAUUAAAGGUUAAAUAAAUCACUUAAUAAAUCGGUAGUAGGGGUUGAUGGUUUCAUUAUUAGACUAUAACAAGGAUUUUCAUUUUCAUUUUCUUUUUAAAUGCAUUUCAUGGUGGUGUAGAAUUUUUUUGUAUAAGGGUUUUUAAAUUGUAAUAUAGAUUAUAUAUAUAGUUGUGUUUUGUCCUAAAUUCUGACUUCCAAGUUUUCAACAUUAUAUAAAAAUCCCUAAAAUCACCUACUUCGUACGUUUUCUAACAUUAUAUAAAAAGCCCUGAAUUCACCUAUUAGAAAAAUGUUAUUUGGUGCGCUAUCAUUACCAUGACCUCAACCUCGUGCAAAGAUAUCGAGUGGUUACUAAUAGUAAAAAAUAAAUAAUAAAAACAAAAUAUAUUCAUUAUUAUUAUUAUUAUUAUUUUGUACUUUUACCAUCCAUUAUUCACAUCUUAGCAUAUGAUAGAAAAGAUGAUAAAAGAUUAUUUAUGUUGUAUGAUUUUAAGUGAAAUGAUCAAAAUAUUUAAAGAAAAAAUUAAUAAUUCAUGAAGAAUUUUUGGUAAAUUUAUAAAUUUGUAAUAAAUAUUGAUAAAUGAUAAACAAAGUAGUUUUUAAAGUGGUUGCAGUAGUUAAACAUUGUAUCUUAUUAUGAUUUUCCACCUUCAAAACUUAAUAAUAAAAUUUCAUAACAAAUUUUUAUCUAUUUGAAACUUUUGAAAUGUGGAAUCUUUUCUUGGACAUUUUUAUAUAUACAUUUGUGAAUUUUAUCUUUAUUUUUUAUUUAUAAAAUUAAAGGAUAAAAUUAAAAUGUUAAAAAUAAAAGAGAAGUAUAUCCCAACUUGCAUCAAUUAAGAGAAGAUAUAUAAAGCACAUGAAGAAUGCAAAAAAAAUUAAUGAUAAAAUAAAUCACUUAUUAGAUAGUAUUUAAUGAUUUACAUUAUUAGAUUGUAGAAAUGAGUUAUAUUUUUAUUUUUGUGUAUAGGGGAUUUUAAAUUAUAAUAUAUAUUUUUAUUUUUGAGUUAGUUUUCUUUGUUGAUACAUAGUUUUUUUUUUGUCUUGGAUAUUGUGUUAUCAGCAGUUUUAAAAGAAAUAAAAAUUAUUUAUCCCACAUCGAUUCAAAACUAAAAAUAUUAUAUAUAUUUAUUAAAACUUUGAUACCCUUAAAAAAUACAAGUACAACCAAUAAGCAAGCAUAGGGAUGACAACGGGGCGGGUAUGGGACAUGCCACCCCUACCCCAUUUCCAUCCCGGUUAUAUAUUUUUUUGCCCAUCCCUGUCCCAAACUCGGGGCGGGGCGAGUUGGUGUCCCCCUUACCUGUUUACAAAAGAGCUGAUAAUCUCAUCCCCAUCCCAAAUGUAUUUUCGGGAAUUAUGCUUUUACAAAACAUGGGUCUCUGAAAUUUCAAUAAACGUUAUAUGGGUUAUCAUAAACACAUUUAAUCAAGCAUUUGUUGUGCAACAAAACUACAAACUGCACAUAUGAGAACAAAAUGCACAGAUCUACAAAUAAACAACCCAAAAAAUCUCAAAUCCAUAAACCAAAACCAGAAAAAUAUGAAAAACAAGACAUUCUAACAAAGCCUCAAAACUUAGGGUUUUCUUACCUGGAAAUGAGGAAUCCAUAGAAACCCUAAUAAUUUGUUGUCUACGAAUUUGGUUUUUGGUUUUUAGAGCAAAAAUUGUGCUUUUAGGGUGAAAUGGGAAGAAGCAAUUUAGGAAUAAAUGAGAAAACGGGAAGAAAUGAGAAAACGAAAGGCCUUUUACGAGCAAAAGAACCCUGAGCAAUUUAGGAAGAAAUGAGAAAACGGGAAGAAAUGAGAGCGAAAGCCCUCUAACUCUCUCAUGAGCAAAAUAACCCUAAAACUUGAGGAAGAAAUGAUUAUAUGUGUAGGACUUUUUGGGUAUUUUGUAAUGACAUAAGGGUAAAUUGGUAAUUCACAUACGGGGCGGGGCAGAAACUGCAAAACCCAUCCCUGCCUUAAACCCAAUUCGGGUUUUUAUAUAUUCCCCAAACCCUUUUUAUACCCGAAUAGGAUAUUCUCAUACCCGUCCCAAUAGGGACGGGGCGGGUGACCCGAAUUACCCGGAAAAUUGUCAUUCCUAAGCAAGCAUUGAGCUAAAUCCUAAUCUCACAUUCCUACUUGAAACUUUACACUCACAUAAAAACAACUCACCACUUGACUCGAGGGACUAUUCCGUAACUUCUCACUACCAACAACCAGGCACUAUUCAACCUCUCGCUCACUUAUAAAUUCACUCCCUACCUGCAUAUUCAAAACGUAUCUCACUACUAUUCUACUCUACUAUUCUACUUUUCGUGGUUUCAUAUCUCACUAUUAUUCCACUUUUCGCGGUUUCAUAUCUCACUACUAUUCGCGUGUUCAAAGUGUAUCCCUCCCUGAAUUAAUUGUGAAUUAAUUUAGGCUUCAAAGUGUGUUGCUCUACAAUAUCCCUCCCAGUCAGGCCUCAAAGUAAGAACAACAACAUCUACAAUAUCUGCCAUGGCCACACAACCAAGGCAUGCGGUAUGCCGCAUUUUCUCAUGUCCUUUUCCCAUUUUGUUCCCUCUUUUCAUCUCCAUUUUGUUUUCAAUAUCCCCUUACCUUACUCAUAUUCUCUAAAAUUAGAUAAAAUUAUUAAUUUGAUCAUAUUUAUCUAACAUUUUUAAUUAAUACUACUAGUAUCUUAUUUUCAUAAAUCUAAUUGAAUUUCCUACUUAUUUAUUUAUUGUUUUCAUGACAAAACUUCAUCAACUUUCAUAUCUUUCCUUACAAUUCUGAGUUCAACUGUCCUUGCGAAAUACCAAUAUGAGAAUGUUUCCCCAUUUGCCCAACACAACAUAGGUAUGCAAAUCUCCUUAUUUGCAUCAUUUAUAUAUUUCAUGAUGGUUGUGGUUUAUGAAAUCCUUGAUUCUAAUGGAACUAUCAAAAUUGAAGAAGAUGGAAGAUAUCUCCUUAUUUUGAGUCAUGUUCGGUUCUUAAGUGGAACAGCAGCUGCAACUUUGUUGAUCCUGAUCUUGAUCCCAUAUUUUGGAUGGUUCUUUCUGAUCAUGUGGACCAUGUUCUUAGUGAAAAUAACAUGCUAUUGGGAUAAAACAUUUUAUAACUUUGACAUGUUCAAGAAUAAAAAAAAAUGCCAAUGAUAGGGAAGGAGGACAAGAGGAGCAACGACUCCAAGUUUAGAGUAGGUUUGGUCCAUCAGAGGUUAUUAGCAAAAAACAUAUUUUCUUCUUGUACUUUCGAAAGUGUUAAAUAAGUGUUAUAUUUUGAGUAAUGAGAGUAUUUUUUUCCUUUUUUCUUUUUUUCUAAUACAUUAUUGGUGAUUAUUCUUCGUCGGAAUACCCACAAGGCUAUUAGAUGUUUCAUUGCAAAAUAUGGUUUUAUAUGAUAGCAUUACGAUUGAACUAAUAAAACAUAUUUUUUGCAUAUUGUUUAGUUGGACCCCCCGACUACCUCUCGGUAAUAUCCUCUUAACAUAGGAAGUAUAAACUAAUAGCAAGUGCUAAUCUUUCCCAUUCUUACACAAGAAAGACCCAAGGAGAAGGUAUAUUUAGAAAUUGCAUAUCUAUGUUCCCAAACAAUAGAAAAUUCAAUAUAUGGCACUUCACUCUCUACUUUUCUUUCCCACAUUUUCUCAUAACCCAAAUAUGCUCACCUCUCAUUCUAAGAUCCAACCAUUGAAAAACAAUUACAAAAAUCCUAAUAAAAGAGAUAGAUCAUACUACAAUUACACUUUCUUACAAGAAAUUGAAGUGUAGAAGGUAUAACAAUUGAGUGAAACAAAUAAAAACCAACCUCCUUUAACACACAUGCUAAUGAAAUACUUGCAGAGACACUUUAAAUUUCUCCAGACUCCAAGAGAUAUUGAACAACAGCCUCGACACCUGCAGCGACGAGACCAUCACCUGAUACGAUAUAAUGCACAAACUCGGCACGGAAUCAAUAAGACUUGGUUGGAUUACAAAUUUUUUUUCAAACAUUCUCUUUUUCUUUCCAAUCACAAUAAAACAUCAGAAUAUUUUCAAAAAUAAAAAUCAGAAAUUCACCUUUCAAAAGCAAACACCCAUGAUUCUGAAAUUGGAGCUUUUAACCUAAAAGAUCAAAGAAGAUGAAGAAGAAAAAACCCAACCCCUGACUCGUUCGGAAAUAAGAGGAGAAACCACCGAAGGAUGAGGGCAUGAUUUAGGAUUUACUUACUUGAUUUUCCUAAAAAUCGAGAAUCAUCGGAGGGUGGAGGUUUGGUGUCAACGGUGGUAACUCGUCAAGUGGAUUGAAUCUUACAACAGCGACGUCGGCCAGGCAACCCUCUCACAGUCAGAUUGCUCUCCCUUCGGGGUCUUGCAUAGUUGCAAAUUUGCAAUUGUAGGUGGUGUCAUCUGUCGACGGUCUUGACAACAAUGGUGUUGUGCGAGUAUGGAAGAUUGGGAGCCUAAAUUGGUAAAGUAAAAAAUGCAUUUUAUAUGGAUUUACAUUGAUGAUAUGAGAUAGGAUUUGAUGGUAACAUAUUAAAUUAAAUUAAAUGAUUGAGUCCAAAAUGAUAUGGAUGGUAUGAGAUAGGAUUUAAUGAAAAAUUAAAUGUAUUUAUAUGGCAGAUUGAGAAUUAAAUCCACAAUUCUUAGUAGUAUUAUAAAUGGCUUUGAGUUAAAUGUGAAAAAGUUUUAUUAAUUUUUUAAGCUUAUUAAAUUUAUAUCUAUUUUUUAUAUAUAAUUUACAUAAUAUUUUUAUAAUUUUUUGAAAUUUCUAAUUAUCUUAUUUUGCGUGUUGCUUGAUAUUGAAUCAAGAUGUUGAGACCAACAUAUCUCGGGAACAUCUGAGUUAAUGAUCGAUAUCGCGACUUUGAACCAUGCUCGUCUCCAAUCCCUUAACAAUGAUGAAAAAUGAGGGCAACACAAUUACCCUUUUUAUUAUUAUCUGUUCAAAAUAAUACAUGCAUUAUAAUAUAAUUUUUUAAAAAUAUUUUACAAAAAAAUAUAUGUGGACCCCGUAUUUAGGCUCAUGCGUUUCCACUCGAUGGCGAGCUUGAUUUUAUUUUGAAAAUAAUUUUAUUUAUUAGAAAAUGACUUGGAGUCGCCACUUAUUUUUGUUUUAUUUUUAAAGGGUAAACAAAAUAAGAAAGAAAACCCUAAGUGUGACUCCUUAUUUUGGAAAAGGUGGUCUGUAAAAAAUUGGAUCGAGUUUGGGGGUCAGGUUACUUAUCGGGAAGGUACGGUAAAGACCGUAGCACCCCUUUAAGUCCCCAAAGUCGGGUCUCUACUAAUAAAAUGAAGUUGACGCAACAAUCAAUAAUAAAAACAAUGAAUACCGACAUGAUCACAUAUUGAAAGCCAAAACAUAUAAGGAUGAUGGUUAGAGUGAGAAAAAAUGCGUACCUGAUCAGCAAGCGGCAACGCGCUAUCAUAAAAUGAGGUUAGUGCACAAAUAAUGGACAUAAAACAUAGCUCACAAGCCACUGAAUCGAGUACAAAAUCAUCAGAUAUCACAAUUAAGUCAAAUUUAUUUUUCGGGGAAACAAUCACUGAUGUUGGGCCUUCACCAAAACCCAAUUUAUUCCUGUAUGAAUUAAUUUCGUAAAUUCCAUCACUUGGAAUUACAGAAUUUAAUUCACACUUAUUUUUAAAAUGUUUUAGAAAUCAUGGAAGUUAUGGAAAUCCAUGCCGAAGAAAAUGGCAACAAAAUUUUAUUAAAAAUGUGAUUUUUGGGACUUGAAAGCUCUAAGGAUGAAGAAUCUGGAAAAUAAUGCGAAAAAAAUGAGAUUUGGAAAAAAAUAUUUUUUUAAACCAAGAAUGGUGAAAAUGAGAAAAAAAAAAAAAAAGGAAGUGACACGUGGCAUAAGGGUGGCCAUGCAAAGGUGGCCAUGCACCAUUCCAAACAAAUCUAACCCCACUUGCUUUUAUUUGAUCCUGAUCUUAAUCCCAUAUUUUGGAUGGUUCCUUCUGGUCAUGUGGACCAUGUUCUUAGUUAAAAUAACAUGCUAUUGGGAUAAAACAUUUUAUAACUUUGACAUGUUCAAGAAUAAAAAAAAUGUCAAUGAUAAGGAAGGAGGACAAGAGGUGCAGCGACCCCAAGUUUAGAAUAGGUUUGGUCCAUAAGAAGUUAUUAACAAAAAAACAUAUUUUCUUCUUGUACUUUUGAAAGUGUUAUAUUUUGAGUAAUGAGAGUAUUUUUUUUUUCCUUUUUUCUUUUUCUUUAAUACAUUAUUGGUGAUUAUUCUUCGCUGGAAUACCCACAUGGCUAUUAGAUGUUUCAUUGCAAAUAUGGUUUUAUAUGAUAGAAUUAUGAUUGAACUUAUAAAACAUAUUUUCUGCAUAUUGUUUAGCUGGGCCUCCCAACUACCUCUCGGUAAUAUCCUCUUAACAUAGGAAGUAUAAACUAAUAGCAAGUGCUAAUAUUUCCCAUUCUUACACAAGAAAGACCCAAGGAAAAGGUAUAUUUAGAAAUUUCAUUUCUAUGUUCCCAAACAAUAGAAAAUUCAAUAUAUGGCACUUCACUCUCUACUUUUCUUUCCCACAUUUUCUCAUAACCCAAAUAUGCUCACCUCUCAUUCCAAGAUCCAACCAAAAUUGAAAAACAAUUACAAAAAUCCUAAUAAAAGAGACAGAUUAUACUACAAUUACACUUUCUUACAAGAAAUUGAAGUGCAUAAGGUAUAACAAUUGAGUGGAACAAAUAAAAACCAGCCUCCUUUAACACAUUUGCUAAUGAAAUACUUGCAGAGACACUUUAAAUUCCUCCAGACUCCAAAAGAUACUGAUCAACAGCCUCGGCACCUGCAGCGACGAGACCAACACCUGAUACGAUAUAAUGCACAAACUCGGCAUGAAAUCAGUAAGACUCAGUUAGAUUACAGAAAAAUUUUCAAACAUUCUUUUUUUCUUUCCAAUCAUAAUAAAACAUCAGAGUAUUUUCAAAAAUAAAAAUCAAAGAUUCCCCUUUCAAAAGCAAACACCUAUGAUUCUGAAAUUGGAGCUUUUAACCCAGAAGAUAAAAAAAGACGAAAAAGAAAAAACCCAACCCCUGACCCGUUCGGAAAUAAGAGGAGAAACCACCGAAUGAUGAGGGCAUGAUUUAGGAUUUACUUACCUGAUUUUCCUAAAAAUCGAGAAUCAUCGGAGGGUGGAGGUUUGGUGUCGGUGGUGGUAACUCGUCAAGUGGACUGAAUCUUACAACGGCGACGUCGGCCAGGCAACCCCUCAUAGUCAGAUUGCUCCCCAUCCGAGGUCUUUCAUAGUUGCAAAUUUGCAAUUGCAGGUGGUGUCAUCUAUCGAUAGUCUUGACAGCAACGGUGGUGUGCAAGGUGUGCGAGAUUGGGAGCCCAAAUUGGUAAAGUAAAAAAUGCAUUUUAUAUGGAUUUACAUUGAUGAUAUGAGAUAGGAUUUGAUGGUAACUUAUUAAAUUAAAUUAAAUGACUGAGUCCAAAAUGAUAUGGAUGGUAUGAGAUGGGAUUUAAUGAAAAAUUAAAUGUAUUUAUGUGGCAGAUUGAGAAUUAAAUCCCCAAUUCUUAGUAUUAUUAUAAAUAGCUUUGAGUUAAAUGUGAAAUUUUUUUGUUUUAUUAAGUUUUUAAGCUUAUUUAAUUUCUAUCUAUUUUUUAUAUAUAAUUUACAUAACAUUUUUAUAAUUUUAUGAAAUUUCUAAUUAUCUUAUUUUGCGUAUUGCUUGAUACUGAAUCAAGAUGUCGAGACUAACAUAUCUCGAGAUCAUCUGAGUCAAUGAUCGAUAUCGCGACUUUGAACCAUACUUGUCUCCAAUCCCUCAACAGUGAUGAAAAAUGAGGCCAACACAGUUGCCUUUUUUAUUAUUAUCAGUUAAAAAUAAUGAAUCUAUAUCCAUGUAUUAUCAAGAAUAAAUAAGUUUAUAUUUAUAAAUUUUUAUUAUAAAUUUAUAUUUACACAUAUCCUUGAUUUUCCUCAAGGUCUUAUUUUUAAUUGAUUACAAAGCAUUAGUACUUAUUUAAUUUAAAAUGUAUUAAAUAAAUAUUAAUAUUACAUAAAUAAAUAAAAGUUGAAUUUGAAUAAAAAUUAUAUAUAUAUAUAUAUAUAUCAUAUUCUACAUGAAUAUGAAUCUAUUAUUAAAGAUACAUGGUAAUAAGUGUUAAUAUUAUAUAAUCAAAUGAGAGUACAAAAAUUUUCUAUUAUUAACAAUACAUUAUUAUAAUAAUGAAAUACUUAAUAUCAUGUAAAUAAAUAAAAGUCAUCAUAAAUUUAAAUUUGAAUUUAUAUUUUUAAACCCAUCAAAUUUAUUUUUAUUUAUUUUUAAUUUUAAGAAUUUUUUCUCCACUUCAAAUAGCAAUAAUAGUGUUUAUUCAUACUAAUUAUACUUAAAAUUGAUGAAAUUUAUGAAAAAAGAAGAAGUAAAAACCCAUACCCUUCAAAUUUACAUUUGUUUUAAUUUUAAGAUUUUUUUUCUCUACUUCAAGUAAUAAUAAUAAUAAUGUUUAUUCAUACUAAUAGCAAUAAAAUUAACGAAAAUGAUGAAAAAUAAAAAAUAAAAAAUAAAUAGUAAAAACUUCAAAAUUUUAAUAAUAAUAAUAAUAUUUAUUCAUACUAAUAAACAAUUCUUCAUAAUCAUAACCUACUAAUUUCCAACAAUUAUAAUUGAAAUUGUUUUGAAUAAACAAUGUAAUUUGUAUUUGAAGUUGAAGAAAAUUGUGAAAAUUAAAUGGGAAGGGUAGGGUUUUAAUUUUUUAUUUUAUUUAAAAUUUUUCCCUCAUUAAUUAAUUAAUUAAUUAAUUAAUUUAUUUAUUUAUUUAUGAAUUUUGAGUGAAAUUAUUAUGAAUCAACAAUUUUAUUGAUAUUUAAAGUUUAAAAAAAAAAAAUCUAUGAAUUUUAAAUAAAUUUUGGAAGGUAUUUGUAAUGGGGUAUUUUUAUUUGCACUUUCCUAUUAUGUUGAAAUAUUGUUUGGUUUCAACAUUGUUUAUUCAAAAUAAUUUCAAUUAUAAUUAUUGGAAAUUAGGAGGUUAUGAUUAUGAAGAAUUGUUUAUUAGUAUGAAUAAACAUUAUUAUUAUUAUUAUUAUUAUUAUUUGAAGCAGAGAAAAAAAUUCAUAAUGCAUAGGGAGACCACAGAUUCUAUGGAUUCAACAAUUGAUAAACCUACUUGUUUAUGUUAUUGUCCCUAACCAUCUAUUCCAUUUUUGAAUUUACUUUUGGUGCAUUUAGUUUGUAACUUAUCUUAUGUUUUACUUAUUUUCAAUUUUUUUUUUUUAAGGUUAAGAUAGUAGUUUUUUUUUUUUUUAAAAAAAAAAAAAAAAACUCUUUUGAGCAAUACUUGAUUCUCUUGCUAUUCUUAUUUUUAACCAUUUUUUCAAUAAGAAAUUAUUUCUUUUUGGCGGAAUUGUAGGAAGUGGAUUGAAUCGGAAAAUUUAUUUGGGCCAGAUUGUGUUUCACUAGAGUCUUGAGAGAUGCAGCUUAGUGAGCUUAUAAUAAAAAGGUAGGCAUUUAAACGGACCAUACUGGUCCGAGUCAAUCUUAGUUUGGCCUAGUGGGCCUUCGGAAUUGCUCCAACAUGAAUUUCAAUGUCAACUUCAAUUUUUAAAAUUAAUAAUUAUACAUUUGUUUUAACUAUUUAUAACAAAUAUUAUCUUUGAAAAGUAAAUUUCAAUUAAUUUUUAUAUUUAAAUAAAAAUUAUUAUUAUUUUAAUUAUUUGUAUCCAAAUCAUACCCGAUAUAUUUGAUUUAUCUUACAAUGUUUCAACAUAAUAGGAAAUUGCAAAUAAAAAUACCCCAUUACAAAUACCUUCCAAAAUUUAUUUAAAAUUCAUAUAUAUUUAUAUAUAUAUAUAUAUAUAUAUAUAUAUAUAUAUAUGAAUUUUAAAUAUCAAUAAAAUUGUUGAUUCAUAAUAAUUUCACUUAGAAUUCAUAAAAAAAUACGAGGAAAAAAAUUAAAAUAAAAAUUUUUAAGAUCCCUACCCUUCCCAUUUAAUUUUAACAAUUUUUUUCUGAGCAUUGAUUUGUUGAUCGAUUAUCAAGGGCCACUCAUUUGCUUUGUUGGAUCUAACUCUCUGUAUGCAUGCUCUGUUUUGGCUUUGUUUGUUUUUUUUUUUUUUUUUUAUCUUUGCUUUCUCUUGUAAAUAUCUGAUGCAUUGUUCCUUCUCUGAACUUGAGAUAUAAAAAUCAUGCUCUUGUUCCUUGUGGAUUCCACCUUCUCCUAGCUCUUUGACAAUCCAUGAAAUAGAGCUAAGUUCAUACUCUAUUUUUAUGUUUUUAUUCUUCUUUGUUUGUUGUUGAUGGUGGGAUGAUAUUAUCAAUGGCUAAGUUGCUGGGAUUUGAGGAGUGAGGUUAUGGGGAAGUGAACUUAAUGGAGGAUUUCUAUGAUCAUAUCUAUGCUCCAAUCUAUUGGUUCAAAAUGUUGGCCAUGAGACUGCAUUGAAGUUUUGGUAUUUGGGAUCACUUUGCCAUCCGGGUUCAGUAAGCAACACAGUGGCAAUAAAGAUGCAUUGGUGUUAUUAAUUUGGGUGAAUAAGUUGGUUGUAUGAAUCGUGAAAGUUCAGGUUGUGCUUUGAGGAGAGUAUAUCUUGCAUCCUAUUAUUUUAAUUAUUAAUUUUGGAUGUUGAAAUAUGAUGUGAUCGCACUUCAUACAUCAUGGUUGUGUGAGGAAAAAGAAAGAUUGAAGAAAUGGUUGUGUGAAAUGGAAAUAAGAAUGAAAAGACCCUGGAGAGGGCAAAAAUGAAAAGAAAAAAAAAAUGAAAUGAUCCCAGAGAGGGCAAAUUAAGAAGGAAGUGAGAUCUUUAAGGUGAAAGUCCCAAAAGUUUACUUCGGGAAGACUCCGAAUGGGGAGUAUAUUUAGGUACAGAUGUGUAUCCUUUGGUGAAAGCUUGAGAACCAUAGUGCAUUGUGUGAUUGCGUGUAAGCAUUUGCAUCAUAAUUGCGUUUGGAAGAAGGAUUUGUAUUAUUUAUCAAGUGUAUGUUUGAAUAUAUUAUUCAAAACUAAAAUGACUUGUUUAUUUUGUAAAUUUAGAAUUGUUGAUAUACUAAACAUAUGAUUGAAUAAGGAAAAUGAUAAUUUUGAUUGUUUUAAAUUUAUAUGGUUAAGGUUUCUUUUAAUGUAUAUAUUGUAAAUGUAAUAUUGUAUUUUGACAUAUGGUUGUGUUAUUGACCUAGAAUUUCUAACCUAUUUGGGUGUAAAACACCCUACUGAGCAACGUGGAAAUGCCCAUCUCUUUAUUUUCUAAAAUUUUAGAUGCAAAUAUAGUUUCAGAGGGACCACAAGAAGUUCAAGAAGCGUUCUAGAAAGUAAAAGAACUAUAAUAAUAGUUGUUUUUAAAUUUAUAUUUCUCUUUUUAUAUGUACCAAUUUGAGUUAUAUGGACUUUUGUAUGUUAAAUUAUAUUUUGUUAAAUUGUAAAAUAUUUUUGGAAAUAUUUUUUUUAACUUAGAGAUUAUUGUAAAUAUUUCAGCUUUUGGGCAGAAAGAUGACUGGUGGAUUUAUUAUACUUGUGAAUAAGAGAUAGUGUGAUGGUUGGUUUUAGAAAAAUAAAAUAUUAUAGUAAAUCUUAACUUAAUAAGAGCAGGAUGAUCAUCAGCCUGCUCUUGAAGCAUCCAGGGAGGGCAUAUUCCAAGAAAGUUACGAAAAAUUGAGAUGAAGAAACUGCAGUGAAGCAAUUUCAUGGAAUUUUUGCUUGGAGACUCACGAAUUACAACCAAUUGCUCAGGGUUGGGAAAAUUGGAAUUGGUGUAAAUUGUGACUGGGUCUUUGUAAAACCCACAUCAUUUAGCUAGAAAAGCUUUGAAAAUACAUUUUAAUUUAAUUUAUAAUUUCUAUGUUAGAAUAUUAGAUCCAAUUCCUAAAAAGCUUAUCAGCCUUGUAUAUAUGGCUAAGCAGGUCAACUUCCCAAGCUCAAGCGCAUUAAGAAAUUCUCAGACCUACCUUUUUUUUAUAGGAUUUUUGGGAAGUUUUACAGCAAUUGAAAACAAAUCCUAAAAGGGUCGGGAAAUUAUUUGAAAAAAUAUGGCAGAUUUGGUCACAUAGGGGACAAAGAUGUGAUAAAGUUGGUACAACGCCCAAAAUUAAACUCUCAAUUAAUUUAAUUAAACAAAUAAUCAUAAAAGAGAUCUGUGUAGACUGUGUGGCAGGUUUUUAAUUUAUGAUUUUUGUUUUUUUAUUUAUACUUUUUGAAAAAGAAAAUUCCAGUGAAAUAUGUUCGUGUAGACUGUGUGGCAGGAUGCAGACUAAACAAAGAAAUUGACACGUGCUUGAAUCCGGCCCUACACAUAGCCCCAUUGGAAAACAGCGGUUUCAUCCUCCGUACUCUUUGGGCGUUAAGUGGGUUCACAAACCAAACAAUGGGCUGCCCCAACACAGCAACACUUAGAUUGAGGACAAACUAUGUAGGUGAAUACCCAAUUAUACCCACAUGAAUCAGCGGUCAAUCUUUCAAAUCUAAGGACAGAGUAGUCAUUCCAAUUCAAACCAAACAAAGCUAUGAGAACUGCUGGCCACAGCCUCUGGUUUCCCCAAAACUUUGGGCAGUAUUCCUCAAAGAAUCAAGUGGGCUAGAUUUAAUAACUUCGUCCACCAUGGUUAGAUUAUUGGGGGCUAGAGUCAAUAACUUCAUCCACCAUGGUUAGAUUAUUGGUAUCUCGAUGGGAGAAGUUGUUUUGAUGGAAAAACAUUGUAUUUUAUUAUUUUGUAAAUUUUAUCAUCACUCAUAUAUAUUAUUUUUUAUUUAAAAUUAAAUAAAAAAUUAAAAUUCUUAGAAAAUACGAAAAGAAAGUAUAUCACAAUCUUUAUUUUCUAUUCUAAAAUUAAAAAAUAAAAAUAAAAUUAUGAAGAAAAAAGUACAUUCCAACUUACAUUAAUUAAGGGAUGAUAUACUGUGCAAAUAAAAAAUAUAAAAAAUAAUUAAAGGUUAAAUAAAUCACUUAAUAAAUCGGUAGUAUGAGUUGAUGGUUUCAUUAUUAGACUAUAACAAAGAUUUUCAUUUUCUUUUUCUUUUUAAAUGCAUUUUAUGGUGGUGUAUAACUUUUUUGUAUAAGGGUUUUUAAAUUGUAAUAUAGAUUAUAUAUAUAGUUGUGUUUUGUCCUAAAUUCUGUCUUCCAAGUUUUCAACAUUAUAUAAAAAUCCCUAAAAUCACCUACUUUAUACGUUUUCUAACAUUAUAUAAAAAUCCCUGAAUUCACCUAUUAGAAAAAUGUUAUUUGGUGCGCUAUCAUUACCAUGGCCUCAACCUCGUGCAAAUAUAUCGAGUGGUUACUAAUAGUAAAAAAUAAAUAAUAAAAACAAAAUAUAUUCAUUAUUAUUAUUAUUAUUUUGUACUUUUACCAUCCAUUAUUCACAUCUUAGCAUAUGAUAGAAAAUACGAUAAAAGAUUAUUUAUGUUGUAUGAUUUUAAGUGAAAUGAUCAAAAUAUUUAAAGAAAAAAUUAAUAAUUCAUGAAGAAUUUUUGGUAAAUUUAUAAAUUUGUAAUAAAUAUUGAUAAAUGAUAAACAAAAUAGUUUUUAAAGUGGUUGCCGUAGUUAAACAUUGUAUCUUAUUAUGAUUUUCCACCUUCAAAACUUAAUAAUAAAAUUUCAUAACAAAUUUUUAUCUAUUUGAAACUUUUGAAAUGUGAAAUCUUUUCUUGGACAUUUUUAUAUAUACAUUUGUGAAUUUUAUCUUUAUUUUUUAUUUAUAAAAUUAAAGGAUAAAAUUAAAAUGUUAAAAAUAAAAGAGAAGUAUAUCCCAACUUGCAUCAAUUAAGAGAAGAUAUAUUAAGCACAUGAAGAAUGCAAAAAAAAUUAAUGAUAAAAUAAAUCACUUAUUAGAUAGUAUUUAAUGAUUUACAUUAUUAGAUUGUAGCAAUGAGUUAUAUUUUUAUUUUUGUGUAUAGGGGAUUUUAAAUUAUAAUAUAUAUUUUUUAUUAUUUUUGAGUUAGUUUUCUUUGUUGAUACAUAGUUUUUUUUUUUGUCUUAGAUAUUGUGUUAUCAGCAGUUUUAAAAGAAAUAAAAAUUAUUUAUCCCACAUCGAUUCAAAACUAAAAAUAUUAUAUAUAUUUAUUAAAACUUUGAUACCCUUAAAAAAUACAAGUACAACCAAUAAGCAAGCAUAGGGAUGGCAACGGGGCGGGUAUGGGACAUGCCACCCCUACCCCAUUUCCAUCCCAGUUAUAUAUUUUUUUGCCCAUCUCUGUCCCAAACUUGGGGCGAGGCGAGUUGGUGUCCCCCUUACCUGUUUACAAAAGAGCUGAUAAUCUCAUCCCCGUUCCAAAUGUAUUUUCGGGAAUUAUGCUUUUACAGAACAUUGGUCUCUGAAAUUUCAAUAAACGUUAUAUGGGUUAUCAUAAACACAUUUAAUCAAGCAUUUGUUGUGCAACAAAACUAAAAAUUGCACAUAUGAGAACAAAAUGUACAUAUCUACAAAUAAACAACCCAAAAAAUCUCAAAUCCAUAAAGCAAAACCAGAAAAAUAUGAAAAACAAGACAUUCUAACAAAGCCUCAAAACUUAGGGUUUUCUUACCUGGAAAUGAGGAAUCUAUAGAAACCCUAAUAAUUUGUUGUCUACGAAUUUGGUUUUUAGUUUUUAGAGCAAAAAUUGUGCUUUUAGGGUGAAAUGGGAAGAAGCAAUUUAGGAAGAAAUGAGAAAACGGGAAGAAAUGAGAAAACGAAAGGCCUCUUAUGAGCAAAAGAACCCUGAGCAAUUUAGGAAGAAAUGAGAAAACGGGAAGAAAUGAGAGCGAAAGCCCUCUAACUCUUUCACGAGCGAAAUAACCCUAAAACUUGAGGAAGAAAUGAUUAUAUAUGGAGGACUUUUUGGGUAUUUUGUAAUGACGUAAGGGUAAAUUGGUAAUUCACAUACGGGGUGGGGCAGAAACUGCAAAACCCAUCCCUGCCUUAAACCCGAUUCGGGUUUUUAUAUAUUCCCCAAACCCGUUUUAUACCCGAAUAGGAUAUUCUCAUACUCGUCCCAAUAGGGACGGGGCGGGUGACCCAAAUUACCCGGAAAAUUGUCAUUCCUAAGCAAGCAUUGAGUUAAAUCCUAAUCUCACAUUCCUGCUCGAAACUUUACACUCACAUAAAAACAACUCACCACUUGACUCGAGGGACUAUUCCGUAACUUCUCACUACCAACAACUAGGCACUAUUCAACCUCUCGCUCACUUAUAAAUUCACUCUCUACCUGCAUAUUCAAAAUGUAUCUCACUACUAUUCUACUCUACUAUUCUACUUUUCGUGGUUUCAUAUCUCACUAUUAUUCUACUUUUCGCGGUUUCAUAUCUCACUACUAUUCGCGUGUUCAAAGUGUGCAUAUUCAAACUGUAUCCCUCCCUGAAUUAAUUGUGAAUUAAUUUAGGCUUCAAAGUGUGAUGCUCUACAAUAUCCCUCCCAGUCAGGCCUCAAAGUAAGAACAACAACAUCUACAAUAUCUGCCAUGGCCACACAACCAAGGCAUGCGGUAUGCCGCAUUUUCUCAUGUCCUUUUCCCAUUUUGUUCCCUCUUUUCAUCUCCAUUUUGUUUUCAAUAUUCCCUUACCUUACUCAUAUUCUCUAAAAUUAGAUAAAAUUAUUAAUUUGAUCAUAUUUAUCUAACAUUUUUAAUUAGUACUACUAGUAUCUUAUUUUCAUAAAUCUAAUUGAAUUUCCUACUUAUUUAUUUAUUGUUUUCAUGACAAAACUUCAUCAGCUUUCAUAUCUUUCCUUACAAUUCUGAGUUCAACUGUCCUUGCGAAAUACCAAUAUGAGAAUGUUUUCCCAUUUGCCCAACACAACAUAGGUAUGCAAAUCUCCUUAUUUGCAUCAUUUAUAUAUUUCAUGAUGGUUGUGGUUUAUGAAAUCCUUGAUUCAGAUGGAACUAUCAAAAUUCAAGAAGAUGGAAGAUAUCUCCUUAUUUUGGGUCAUGUUCGGUUCUUAAGUGGAACAGCAGCUGCAACUUUGUUGAUCCUGAUCUUGAUCCCAUAUUUUGGAUGGUUCUUUCUGAUCAUGUGGACCAUGUUCUUAGUGAAAAUAGCAUGCUAUUGGGAUAAAACAUUUUAUAACUUUGACAUGUUCGAGAAUUAAAAAAAAUGCCAAUGAUAAGGAAUGAGGACAAGAGGAGCAACGACCCCAAGUUUAGAGUAGGUUUGGUCUAUAAGAGGUUAUUAGCAAAAAACAUAUUUUCUUCUUGUACUUUCGAAAGUGUUAUAUAAGUGUUAUAUUUUGAGUAAUGAGAGUAUUUUUUUUUUCCUUUUUUCUUUUUCUCUAAUACAUUAUUGUUGAUUAUUCUUCGCUGGAAUACCCACAAAGCUAUUAGAUGUUUCAUUGCAAAUAUGGUUUUAUAUGAUAGCAUUAUGAUUGAACUAAUAAAAUAAAUUUUCUGCAUAUUGUUUAGCUGGACCUCCCAACUACCUCUCGGUAAUAUCCUCUUAACAUAGGAAAUAUAAACUAAUAGCAAGUGCUAAUCUUUCCCAUUCUUACACAAGAAAGAACCAAGGAAAAGGUAUAUUUAGAAGUUGCAUUUCUAUGUUCCCAAACAAUAGAAAAUUCAAUAUAUGGUGCUUUACUCUCUACUUUUCUUUCCCACCUUUUCUCAUAACCCAAAUAUGCUCACGUCUCUUUCCAAGAUCCAACCAAAAUUGAAACACAAUUACAAAAAUCCUUGUAAAAAAGACAGAUCAUACUACAAUUACACUUUCAUACAAGAAAUUGAAGUGCAGAAAGUAUAAAAAUUGAGUGAAACAAAUAAAAACCAACCUCCUUUCACACACCUGCUAAUGAAAUACUUGUAGAGACACUUUAAAUUUCUCCAGACUCCAAGAGAUAUUGAUCAACAGCCUCGACACUUGCAGCGACGAGACCAGCAUCUGAUACGAUAUAAUGCACAAACUCGGCACGGAAUCGAUAAGACUCGGUUAGAUUACAAAUUUUUUUUCAAACAUUCUUUUUUUCUUUCCAAUCACAAUAAAACAUCAUAAUAUUUUCAAAAAUAAAAAUAAGAGAUUCCCCUUUCAAAAGCAGACACCCAUGAUUCUGAAAUUGGAGCUUUUAACCCAGAAGAUCAAAGAAGAUGAAGAAGAAAAAACCCAACCCCUGACCCGUUCGAAAAUAAGAGGAGAAACCACCGAAGAAUGAGGGCAUGAUUUAGGAUUUACUUACUUGAUUUUCCUAAAAAUCAAGAAUCAUCGGAGGGUGGAGGUUUGGUGUCGGCGGUGGUAACUCGUCAAGUGGACUGAAUCUUACAACGGCGACGUCGGCCAGACAACCCCUUCACAGUUAGAUUGCUUCCCCUCCGGGGUCUUGCAUAGUUGCAAAUUUGCAAUUGUAGGUGGUGUCAUCUGUCGGCGGUCUUGACAACAAUGGUGGUGUGCGAGUGUGGGAGAUUGGGAGCCCAAAUUGGUAAAGUAAAAAAAUGCAUUUUAUAUGGAUUUACAUUGAUGAUAUGAGAUAGGAUUUGAUGGUAACAUAUUAAAUUAAAUUAAAUGAUUGAGUCCAAAAUGAUCUGGAUGGUAUGAGAUGGGAUUUAGUGAAAAAUUAAAUGUAUUUAUAUGGCAGAUUGAGAAUUAAAUCCACAAUUCUUAGUAUUAUUAUAAAUAGCUUUGAGUUAAAUGUGAAAAAAAUUUAUUAAUUUUUUAAGCUUAUUAAGUUUAUAUCUAUUUUUUUUAUAUAUAAUUUACAUAAUAUUUUUAUAAUUUUUUUGAAAUUUCUAAUUAUCUUAUUUUGCGUAUUGCUUGAUAUCGAAUCAAGAUGUCGAGACCAACAUAUCUCGAGAUCAUCCGAGUCAAUGAUCGAUAUCGCGACUUUGAACUAUGCUCAUCUCCAAUCCCUCAAUAGUGAUGAAAAAUAAGGGCAACGCAAUUACCUUUUUUAUUAUUAUCAGUUCAAAAUAAUACAUGUAUUAUAAUAUAAUUUUUUUAAAAUAUUUUACAAAAAAAUAUAUGUGGACCCCGUAUUUAGGCUCAUGCGCUUCCAUUCGAUGGCAAACUCGAUUUUAUUUUGAAAAUGAUUUUAUUUAUUAAAAAAUGACUUGGAGUCGCCACUUAUUUUUGUUUUAUUUUUAAAGGGUAAAGAAAAUAAGAAAGAAAACCCUAUGUGUGACUACUUAUUUUGAAAAAGGUGGUCUGUGAAAAACCGAAUCAGGUUCGGGGGUCAGGUUACUUAUUGGGAAGGUACAGUAAAAACCGUAGCACCCCUUUAAGUUCCCAAAGUCGGGUCUCUACUAAUAAAAUGAAGCUAACACGACAAUGAAUAAGAAAAAUAAUGAAUAUUGACAUGAUCACAUAUUGAAAGCCAAAACAUAUAAGGAUGAUGGUCAGAGUGAGAAAAAAUGCAUACCUGAUCAGCAAGCGGUAACGCGCUAUCAUAAAAUGAGGUUAGUGCACAAAUAAUGGACAUAAAACAUAGCUCACAUGCCACUGAAUCGAGUACAAAAUCAUCAGAUAUCACAAUUAAGUUAAAUUUAUUUUUCGAGGAAACAAUCACUGAUGUUGGGCCCCCACUGUAGACCCUCAAAUUUGUCCCUUUAGCACAUGUCUUUGAGUUCGUUUUCAGUACUUCAAAAUAGUUCCUUGGUGGCCCAUGGCUACUCAUACCACUUACCUUUUUCUGAGUCACCUCGGAGAUUUUGGUCGAGGGAUUAUCUGACCCAUUAUUGUGACCCUUGGCAACCCUAUUUUAGACUUAGGCUUUUCGUUCAUUUUUAGGAUAGCUUUUAGGGUAGCUCAUUUAGGCACCCUAGGCCCACUUAGGCACUUAGGCCCAUUUAGGCACCCUAGAUCCACUUAGGCACUUAGGCCCAUUAGGUCCACCUUGGCCCACUUAGUCUCACCUUGGCCCAUUAGUCUUUGUUUUUAGUAUGACUUAUAUGGUUGUAUGACGCAUUUAUCUCAUUUACUUAUUUAUUUAUCUUUAUUUUUUAUUAUUACUAACCACUUUUAUUUGAUCAUUUAUUAUGGUUUUAUUUAUUCAUUUGUUUUGAUUUAUUUUCAUUAUUAUCAAUCAUUUUUUAGUUAUUUAUUUAUUUAGUAUUCUUACUUAUUUAUUUAUUAUCUUGUUAUUUAUUCAUUUAUCUAUUAUUAUCAUUUUAUAUUCUCCGAUUUAUUUAUUUAGUUAUUUAUUUAUUUUAUUAUUUAUUAUCUAUUUUAUUAUUUAUUUAUUUAUUUAAUUUAAUAAUUUGAAAUUUUUAUGGAAGAAGUCUACCAUUGGAUAAGUUUUUGAAAACGGUAAAACUCUUUAAAUGAUAUGCAUGGAUUGUGGGUGAUAUGCGUGGAUUGGUAUUGUUUGAAAUUAAAAAAAAAUGAGUUUUUCCGGUGCAUAAGAUAAAAUCUGGAGGGAGGAAGACUCCUCACGUAGGAGGACUAUUAUUUGCUAUAAAAAAGCUCUAACAGAUAGGUAUAAAGGGAGGACUUUCGGCACAUAGAAAAAAAAAAAAAAAAGAGAGAGAGGCGGAAAAAUUGGAUUUUCAGAGAAGACUUUCUAGUGAGAAGCUGUCGGUGGAGAAGAAGGAGAGGGCGGUGGAAGAAAUCUCAGACGACAAACCAGUGGGAUCUCCUUGCCAGAGGAGAGCGUUCCUCGGUAUGUUUGUUGAGAACUCCUUACUUAUUGAUAUUAUCACUUUGUUCUGUAUCCUCUCUGGUUAGUGUUCUUUUACCAUUGUUUUUUUGUUAGGAUAUGAAAGUGAUAUUGGUCUUCUCUUCUCUCAUAUUCUUUUAGUUUCAUCUAAUCAUAAAUCUGAACGUAGUCUCAAUCACACCACUGGUCUGCGAAUCUAUCGACUUCAGAAAGAAAUGGGAUCCCAUUUAAUGUCUAGUUUCCUUGUUUAUUUUGUUAUGGAUAUCCUGUAUUUUGUUUCGUUUACUACUCUACAUCUAGUAUCCCGAUCCAUGUCCCUGUUGUUGGCUCACAUCUUUGAAUUUACUCCGGACGUUUGGUUUCGUGUUCUGAUUUGCACUUGAGAGAGAGGGUUCAGUACAUGACAAGCCAUAUAUCGUGUUAAAUGGAAAUUUGGAUUUUUUUUUCACUGGAGAUUUUAGAUUUCAAAAAUUGGUUUGCAUAGGAACUCUUCCCGAAGUCGGACCUUCGACAAGCCAUUCAAUUCCUAGUCAUUCCUAAUCUCUAGCAUUCCUCUAUCUGAAUUUCAGAUAGAUUUGGUUACCCACUUCCCGAAAACACUAGAAACUGAGUCCACUCCUUUUAGGUCACUGCUUUCUCAUCAUUCGCGGGAUGGGUCUUCCACAUCUGCUUGUGUUCCUGUUCCUGACAUGAAGACCCUAACUAGUUCGUUGCGAUCUUCUCAUUUUGAAGCCCUAGAUGAUCAAAGUUUGGUUCCUACUUCGCCAUGGUCUUGGAACAGAGAAACUAAACCACCAUUCUCUUCAUACCUUCCUCGAGAAAUUGAACCCACUAUGGUGGGUGCUGGGCUUGUAAAUCUAGGCAACACAAUGCUUUCUUAAUGCAGUGCUCCAAUGCUUCACGCACACUGUCCCCCUUGUCCAGAGCCUUCGUUCUUGCAAUUAUGCCAUGCCUUGUCAUAGUUUGUGUUUCUUCCAUUGGUUUCUGUUUAUAUUAAAGAAUGAUCCGACUUUGUUAGUUCCAUUGUAAUAUCCAGAAGUUCCUUCUUCUUUCUUCCAUGUUCAAGCCUGUUGAAAGUGCAUGUAUGAUACAUGGCUUUGAAUGAUUGCCCAUCUACGUGUUUCCCUUCCCCUUGCCAUCCUUUUGCUAUAUCUUAUAGCCUUUGUUCAUGGUUUGUGGGUCGGUUUGCAAGAACGUCUUAUCGUUUGCAAUGAUUAGCACCCGAGCCAUCCUCAUUUGGCUGAUCAAUGUCACUGGGGAAGUCCUUGGAGGGCGGUUGCUACUCUUGAUAUUACAGGUGAUAUGGUGGUAUUUGUGGGUUUUGUUGAGGGUAUUUGGGUUCAGAUCGAAACUGCCCAUCUGAGGUCCUGGAUGAAAGAAUCAAUCCUGUGUCAGUUGUUUGUCUCAAUUAUCUAUAAGAUAGACAAGUGUCCUUAUUAGCAACAGGUGAAAGGAUGGGUAUGCAGAUAGAUCCAAGCCAAGUUGGAGAGUGGUGUCGGACACGCGCUUGAUGAAGGAAACAUUGAGGUUCUUGGAUAUAAACAUGGUCCUACCAUCAGAUCUGAUGUGACAACCAAUAUGUUGUGUCACAAGGAAGAAAUAUUUGAACCAAUACUUCUCUGCAUGGCCAUGCGAAUUCCGAGCAUAUAUACUCCUCGACUGGGACGACGUUCAUAAUGUUGACCACGUGUGAACUAUUUUUUGAAGGUGGGAAUUUUGCGAAUUCAUUUCAGCGCCCAAUUUUGUGUGUAUUUGAUCAGACUUUGGGCUAUCAGUUGGAAUCCAGCACGACUUUAGUUAUCGGCCGCUCGUUCACGAUGUGCUAGAUUGGAAGCUUAAUAGGUUGGAGUAUGGGGCAGACCUCUAGCACUGCUAGGUUCGCCUGACACAGGUGGACAGAUUGCUUAUAUGCUGGAUCAAGUGCGUGCCUUGGAAAAUGAGAUGCUUCUUAAGAUACAAAAGCAAGGACUUGAUGUCAUUCCUAAAAUUCUCAUAGUUACCCGACUUAUACCUGAUGCAAAGGGGACCACACGCAAUCAGAGACUUGAAAGAAUCAGUGGUACAGAACAUACACAUAUUUUUUGAGUGCCAUUUAGAAGAGAAAAUAGUAUUCUGCGGAAAUGGAUCUCAAGGUUUGAUGUAUGGCCAUAUCUGGAAACCUUUGCAGAGGAUGUAUCAAAUGAAAUUGCUGCCGAGCUACAGGGAGUUCCAGAUCUGAUCAUUGGCAACUAUAGUGAUGGGAAUCUUGUUGCAUCUUUACUAUCUUAUAAGCUGGGAAUUACGCAGUGCAAUAUUGCUCAUGCAUUGGAGAAAACAAAAUAUCCAGAGUCUGAUAUAUAUUGGAGAAAAUUUGAGGAUAAGUACCAUUUCUCAAGCCAAUUUACUGCUGAUCUAAUUGCAAUGAACAAUGCAGAUUCUAUAAUCACCAGUACAUACCAAGAGAUUGCCGGAAGCAAGAAUCAUGUUGGACAGUAUGAGAGCCACACAGCCUUCACUCUUCUAGGGCUGCACCGAGUUGUUCAUGGCAUUGAUUUUUUAUCCCAAGUUUAAUAUCAUAUCUCCAGAAGCAGACAUGCCCAUAUACUUCUCAUACUCAGAAAAAGAAAUGGUUGAAAGUCACAUGCAGAAACUCGUCCAUAUGGAAAACUUGAAAAUAUGCACAUAUUCCUUUUUGAUCCUUGCUGCCAGUUUUCACUCAACCACUGACCCUUCAACUUCAAAAAUUCAUUUUGACAACUUUAGGAUAUCUGUAAAAAAUUUCCAGAAAUUUUAUGACUUUCCUCACUUCUUGAACUUGAAUUUGAGGUUUUGUUUGAGUUAGAAAGUCAUUCUGAGAUAGAAGAUAUAAAUGAGUCUUUAGGGGGACUCCGUUUUCACAUAGUUCUGGACACCCAAGAUCUUUUGGAAAAAAUAAAAUACUAGAGGACUUUUUAAAAUUGAUUCAAUAUUUUUUCUCAAUUAUGAGCUUCUUGAAAUUGAUUUUAGACACAUAAAAUAUUAGAAAAUAUGCAUUUUUGAGGGAGAUAUGAUUUUUCAAAGUUGUGCCUACUGCGCAUGCUGGAGUUUGUACAUCUGAUUACAUUUAUAGUUUUAAAAAUAUUUUUGAGUACUAUUCGACCCCGAAUUUAUUUUUUAUGUGAUAUAGACAUUUUGAAAUAUGUGUGUGAUUUUUUUUUAUGAUUUUAUAGGAUCAUUUAUUAUUUUAAAAAAAUUCAUUUAUGCACGUCACUUUUCCUUAUCUAAUCUGGACUUUGUAGAACCUUUAGGUGCCUUUGCAAUAAUCUGUCUUUUGAAUGAGUGUUUGGCUUUUGGUAUGUUAAUCUAGGUGUGUAGGAGUUGUUUCCUGAAACUUUUUGUAAUCAAAUUCCACUCUAAGCCAUUUUUUUAGAAAUUGUUUUACGAUGCUUCAUUUUCUAACCGCAUGCUGAUGGUUUUAUACCUUACUUGAAAUUGUUAUUAUUUUUGGAGUCAUUUAAUUUGUCUUAGCUCAAUUUUGGCUUUGAAACUGUAUAUUAGACAUAAUGGAUAUUUCAUAUAAUUUAUGCUUGCCCUAACCAAUCUAGCAUUUUUCGAGGAAUCUUAUAAAAUAUACUUGCUAUCCAGGUACGUUCUCUAUCCUCUAAUUCCAAAAUUCUAUGAAAAUGCAUGCUAUCAUGAGCUAUAUCCAUGCUUUGAUUUAAUCCUUGGGUGCUUAGAUGUAUGUUUGACUUGCUUGGAUAAAAUGCAUGUUGUGUGCUAUAUCUCUAUACUAACUUUGAUGUCUUGUGAUAGCGCUUGAAAAGUCGUUCAGGUACGUACUUCGAUUUUCUCUCAUGGUUUGUUUUCUUAUUAGGCAUGCAAUAUUUGAAAUCACCUAGUCUACUUAGGUAUCCAUGAUCAACCAUUUAAUUGCCACGCUUCCCUUAACUUAGUCAGUAGAGACCUUUUUAGGGCUUAGAGGGGUGCUACCUUCUAGAGGUACCUUCCCAAUAAGUAACCUGAUCCCCAGACUUAGACUCGGGUUUCUCAAAGACAUGCUUUUUCCAAAACUAUGGAGUCACUUUUUAGGGUUUUUCUUUCUUGUUUUAUUUUCCCUUCAAAAUAAAAAUAAAAUAGGUGACGACUCCAACUUUUUUUUUUUCAAAAAUCAAUUUUUCACAAAUAAAAAAGCGAGUCUCGCCGAUCGAGUGGGGGCGCACAUGAAAACUGCGGGUCCACACCCACCAAAACCCAAUUUAUUCCUGCAUGAAUUAAUUCCGUAAAUUCCAUCACUUGGAAUUACAUAAUUUAAUUCACACUUAUUUUUAAAACGUUUUAGAAAUCAUGGAAGUUAUGGAAAUACCUGCCGAAGAAAAUGGCAACAAAAUUUUAUUAAAAAUGUGAUUUUUGGGACUUGAAAGCUCUAAGGAUGAAGAAUCUGGAAAAUAAUGCGAAAAAAAUGAGAUUUGGAAAAAAAUAUUUUUUUAAACCAAGAAUGGUGAAAAUGAGAAAAAGAAAAAAGAAAAAAAAAGGAAGUGACAUGUGGCAUAAGGGUGGCCAUGCUAAGGUGGCCAUGCACCAUUCCAAACAAAUCUAACCCCAUUUGCUUUUAUUUGAUCCUGAUCUUAAUCCCAUAUUUUGGAUGGUUCCUUCUGGUCAUGUGGACCAUGUUCUUAGUGAAAAUAGCAUGCUAUUGGGAUAAAACAUUUUAUAACUUUGACAUGUUCAAGAAUAAAAAAAAAAGUCAAUGAUAGGGAAGGAGGACAAGAUGUGUAGCGACCCCAAGUUUAGAGUAGGUUUGGUCCAUAAGAGGUCAUUAGCAAAGAACAUAUUUUCUUCUUGUACUUUCGAAAGUGUUAUAUUUUGAGUAAUGAGAGUAUUUCUUUUCCUUUUUUCUUUUUCUCUAAUACAUUAUUGGUGAUUAUUCUUCGCCAGAAUACCCACAAGGCUAUUAGAUGUUUCAUUGCAAAUAUGGUUUUAUAUGAUAGAAUUAUGAUUGAACUUAUAAAACAUAUUUUCUACAUAUUGUUUAGCUGGGCAUCCCAACUACCUCUCGGUAAUAUCCUCUUAACAUAGGAAGUAUAAACUAAUAGCAAGUGUUAAUCUUUCCCAUUCUUACACAAGAAAGACCCAAGGAGAAGGUAUAUUGAGAAAUUGCAUAUCUAUGUUCCCAAACAAUAGAAAAUUCAAUAUAUGACACUUCACUCUCUACUUUUCUUUCCUACAUUUUCUCAUAACCCAAAUAUGCUCACCUCUCAUUCUAAGAUCCAACCAUUGAAAAACAAUUACAAAAAUCCUAAUAAAAGAGACAGAUCAUACUACAAUUACACUUUCUUACAAGAAAUUGGAGUGUAGAAGGUAUAACAAUUGAGUGAAACAAAUAAAAACCAACCUCCUUUAACACACCUGCUAAUGAAAUACUUAUAGAGACACUAUAAAUUCCUCCAGACUCCAAAAGAUACUGAUCAACAGCCUCGGCACUUGCAGCGACGAGACCAACACCUGAUAUGAUAUAAUGCACGAACUCGACACAGAAUCGGUAAGACUCAGUUAGAUUACAGAAAAAUUUUCAAACAUUCUUUUUUUCUUUCCAAUCAUAAUAAAACAUCAGAAUAUUUUCAAAAAUAAAAAUAAGAGAUUCCCCUUUCAAAAGCAAACACCCAUGAUUUUGAAAUUGGAGCUUUUAACCCAGAAGAUCAAAGAAGACGAAGAAGAAAAAACCCAAUCCCUGACCUGUUCAGAAAUAAGAGGAGAAACCACCGAAUGAUGAAGACAUAAUUUAGGAUUUACUUACCUGAUUUUCCUAAAAAUCGAGAAUCAUCGGAGGGUGGAGGUUUGGUGUCGGCGGUGGUAACUAGUCAAAUGGACUAAAUCUUACAACGGGGACGUCGGCCAGGCAACCCCUCACAGUUAGAUUGCUCCUCCUCCGGGGUCUUUCAUAGUUGCAAAUUUGCAAUUGCAAGUGGUGUCAUUUGUCUGCGGUCUUGACAGAAAAGGUGGUGUGCAAGGUGUGGGAGAUUGGGAGCCCUAAUUGGUAAAGUAAAAAAUGCAUUUUAUAUGGAUUUACAUUGAUGAUAUGAGAUAGGAUUUGAUGGUAAAUUAUUAAAUUAAAUUAAAUGAUUGAGUCCAAAAUGAUAUGGAUGGUAUGAGAUAGGAUUUAAUGAAAAAUUAAAUGUAUUUAUAUGGCAGAUUGAGAAUUAAAUCCCCAAUUCUUAGUAUUAUUAUAAAUAGCUUUGAGUUAAAUGUGAAAUUUUUUUGUUUUAUUAAUUUUUUAAGCUUAUUUAAUUUCUAUCUUUUUUUUUAUAUAUAAUUUACAUAACAUUUUUAUAAUUUUAUGAAAUUUCUAAUUAUCUUAUUUUGUGUAAUGCUUGAUACCGAAUCGAGAUGUCAAGACCAACAUGUCUCGGGAUCAUCUGAGUCAAUGAUCGAUAUCGCGACUUUGAACCAUACUCGUCUCCAAUCCCUCAACAAUGAUGAAAAAUGAGGCCAACGUAGUUGCCUUUUUUAUUAUUAUCAGUUAAAAAUAAUGAAUCUAUAUCCAUGUAUUAUCAAGAAUAAAUAAGUUUAUAUUUAUAAAUUUUUAUUAUAAAUUUAUAUUUACACAUAUCCUUGAUUUUCCUCAAGGUUUUAUUUUUAAUUGAUUACAAAGCAUUAGUACUUAUUUAAUUUAAAAUGUAUUAAAUAAAUAUUAAUAUUAUAUAAAUAAAUAAAAGUUGAAUUUGAAUAAAAAAUUUAUAUAUAUAUAUAUAUAUAUAUAUAUAUAUAUAUAUAUAUAUAUAUAUAUAUAUAUAUAUAUAUAUAUAUAUAUCAUAUUCUACAUGAAUAUGAAUCUAUUAUUAAAGAUACAUGGUAAUAAGUGUUAAUAUUAUAUAAUCAAAUGAGAGAGUACAAAAAUGUUCUAUUAAUAACAAUACAUUAUUAUAAUAAUAAGAUACUUAAUAUCAUGUAAAUAAAUAAAAGUCGUCAUAAAUUUAAAUUUGAAUUUAUAUUUUAAAACCCAUCACAUUUAUUUUUAUUUUUUUAAAAUUUUAAGAAUUUUUUCUCCACUUCAAAUAGCAAUAAUAGUGUUUAUUCAUACUAAUUAUACUUAAAAUUGAUGAAAAUUAUGAAAAAAGAAAAAGAAGUAAAAACCCAUACCCUUCAAAUUUAUAUUUGUUUUAAUUUUAAAAUUUUUUUCUCUACUUCAAGUAAUAAUAAUAAUAAUGUUUAUUCAUACUAAUAACAAUAAAAUUAAUGAAAAUGAUGAAAAAAAAAAUAGUAAAAACUUCAAAUUUGUAAUAAUAAUAAUAUUUAUUCAUACUAAUAAACAAUUCUUCAUAAUCAUAACCUACUAAUUUCCAACAAUUAUAAUUGAAAUUAUUUUGAAUAAACAAUGUAAUUUGUAUUUGAAGUUGAAAAAAAUUGUGAAAAUUAAAUGGGCAGGGUAGGGCUUUAAUUUUUUUUAUUUUGUUUUAAAUUUUUCCCUCAUAAAUUUAAUUUAAUUUAAUUUUUUUUUUAUGAAUUCUCAGUGAAAUUAUUAUGAAUCAACAAUUUUAUUGACAUUUAAAGUUUUAAAAAAAAAUCUAUGAAUUUUAAAUAAAUUUUGGAAGGUAUUUGUAAUGGGGUAUUUUUAUUUGCACUUUCCUAUUAUGUUGAAACAUUGUUUGGUUUCAACAUUGUUUAUUCAAAAUAAUUUCAAUUAUAAUUAUUGGAAAUUAGGAGGUUAUGAUUAUGAGGAAUUGUUUAUUAGUAUGAAUAAACAUUAUUAUUAUUAUUUGAAGCAGAGAAAAAAUUCAUAAUGCAUAGGGAGACCACAGAUUCUAUGGAUUCAACAAUUGAUAAGCCUACUUGUUUAUGGUAUUGUCCCUAACCAGCUAUUCCAUUUUUGAAUUUACUUUUGGUGCAUUUAGUUUGUAACUUGUCUUAUGUUUUACUUAUUUUCAAUUUUUUUUUAAGGUUUAGAUAGUUUUUUUUUUUUUUUAUUUAGAAAAAAAACCUCUUUUGAGCCAUAACUUGAUUCUCUUGCUAUUCUUAUUUUUAACCAUUUUUUCAAUGAGAAAUUAGGUCUUUUUGGCGGAAUUGUAGGAAGUGGAUUGAAUCGAAAAAUUUAUUUGGGCCAGAUUGUGUUUCACUAGAGUCCUGAGAGAUGCAGCUUAGUGAGCUUAUAAUAAAAAGAUAGGCAUUUAAACGGACCAUACUAGUCUGAGUCAUUCUUAGUUUGGCCUAGUGGGCCUUCAGAAUUGCUCCAACAUGAAUUUCAACGUCAACUUCAAUUUUUAAAAUUAAUAAUUAUACAUUUGUUUUAACUAUUUAUAACAAAUAUUAUCUUUGAAAAGUAAAUUUCAAUUAAUUUUUAUAUUUAAAUAAAAAUUAUUAUUAUUUUAAUUAUUUGUAUCCAAAUCAUACUCAAUAUAUUUGAUUUAUCUUACAAUGUUUCAACAUAAUAGGAAAGUGCAAAUAAAAAUACCCCAUUACAAAUACCUUCCAAAAUUUAUUUAAAAUUCAUAGAUUUUUUUUUUUUUUUUUACUUUAAAUAUCAAAAAAAUUGUUGAUUCAUAAUAAUUUCACUUAGAAUUCAUAAAAAAAUAGGAGGAAAAAAAAUUAAAAUAAAAAAUUUUAAGAUCCCUACCCUUCCCAUUUAAUUUUAACAAUUUUUUUUUUCUGAGCAUUGAUUUGUUGAUCGGUUAUCAAGGGCCACUCAUUUGCUUUGUUGGAUCUAACUCUUUAUAAGCAUGCUCUGUUUUGGCUUCGUUUUUUUUAUCUUUGCUUUCUCUUGUAAAUAUCUGAUGCAUUGUUCCUUCUCUGAACUUGAGAUAUAAAAACCAUGCUCUUGUUCCUUGUGGAUUCCACCUGCUCCUAGCUCUUUGACAAUCCAUGAAAUAGAGCUAAGUUCAUACUCUAUUUUUAUGUUUUUAUUAUUCUUUGUUUGUUGUUGAUGGUGGGAUGAUAUUAUCAAUGGCCAAGUUGCUGGGAUUGGAGGAGUGAGGUUAUGGGGAAGUGAACUUAAUGGAGGAUUUUUGUGAUCAUAUCUAUGCUCCAAUCUAUUGGUUCAAAAUGUUGGCCACGAGACUGCAUUGAAGUUUUGGUAUUUGGCAUCACUUUGCCAUCUGGGUUCAGUAAGCAACACAGUGGCAAUAAAGAUGCAUUGGUGUUAUUAAUUUGGGUGAAUAAGUUGGUUGUAUGAAUUGUGAAAGUUCAAGUUGUGCUUUGAGGAGAGUAUAUCUUGCAUCCUACUAUUUUAAUUAUUAAUUUUGGAUGUUGAAAUAUGAUGUGAUCGCACUUCAUAUGCAUCAUGGUUGUGUGAGGAAAAAAAAAGAUUAAAGAAAUGGUUGUGUGAAAUGGAAAUAAGAAUGAAAAGACCCUGGAUAGGGCAAAAAUGAAAAGAAAAGAAAAGAAAAAAAAAUGAAAUGAUCCUAGAGAGGGCGAAUUAAGAAGGAAGUGAGAUCUCUAAGGUGAAAGACCCAAAAGUUUACUUCGGGAAGACUCCAAAUGGGGAGUAUAUUUAGGUAUAGACGUGUAUCCUUUGGUGAAAGUUUGAGAACCACAAUGCAUUGUGUGAUUGCGUGUAAGCAUUUGCAUCAUAAUUGCAUUUGGAAGAAGGAUUUGUAUUAUUUAUCAAGUGUAUGUUUGAAUAUAUUAUUCAAAACUAAAUGACUUGUUUAUUUUCUAAAUUUAGAAUUGUUGAUAUACUAAACAUAUGAUUGAAUAAGGAAAAUGAUAAUUUUGAUUGUUUUAAAUUUGUAUGGUUGAGGUUUCUUUUAGUGUAUAUAUUGUAAAUGUAAUAUUAUAUCUUGACAUAUGAUUGUGUUAUUGACCUAGAAUUUCUAACCUAUUUGGGUGUAAAACACCCUACUAAGCAACGUGAAAAUACUCACCCCUUUAUUUUCUAAAAUUUUUAGAUGUAGAUAUAGUUUCAGAGGGGCCACAAGAAGUUCAAGAAGCGUUCUAGAAAGCAAAAGAACUAUAAUAAUAGUUGUUUUUAAAUUUAUAUUUCUCCUUUUACAUGUACCAAUUUGAAUUAUAUGGGCUUUUGUAUGUUAAAUUAUAUUUUGUUAGAUUGUAAAACAUUUUUGAAAAUAUUUUUUUUGACUUAGAGAUUAUUGUAAAUAUUUGAGCUUUUGGGCAAAAAGAUGACUGGUGGAUUUAUUAUACUUGUGAAUAAGAGAUAAUGUGAUGGUUGGUUUUAGAAAAAUAAAAUAUUACAGUAAAUCUUAACUUAAUAAAUUUAUUUAAAAUUAGACGUUUUAUUAUUUAAAAAAAAAAAGUUUCAAAGUGUUUUGAUUGAUUGUUAGUGUGGAUAGGAAUAACCCUUAGGGUCAAACCCUUGGGCCGACUAUGUAGGUGAAUACCCAAUUGUACCCACAUGAAUCAGCCGUCAAUCUUACAAAUCCAAGGGCAAAGUAGUCAUUCCAAUUCAAACCAAACCAAGCCAUGAUUCAUGAAAACUGCUGGCCACAGCUCCUGGUUUUUCCCAAACUUUGGGCACCAAAUCCAAACCCAUCUCUUGCUAUAUAACCAACCCACCUUCACCUCAUCUUCUUCAUCACAACACAACUACCUUGAUUUAUAGAGAGAUCUUCUAUAUCCAUUCACUACUCAGAAUCACCUCUUUCUAUUGUUGAUUGUUGUUUGGGUUUCGGAGAAAGAAAAUUAAGAAGAUGAGUCAUAUGGGGAAAGCUUGGUUAGUGGCAGCAAGUGUGGGAGCAGUGGAGGCACUCAAGGAUCAGGGCUUCUGCAGAUGGAACUACACUCUGAGGUCUAUUCACCAGCAUGCCAAGACCAACCUCAGGUCCUUUGCUCAGGCCAAGAAGCUCUCUUCUUC
rnacentral:lncRNA from 1 species